rnacentral:lncRNA from 1 species
GUUCUCCAACAAUAACAGAUCCGAGUACACAAAUGUCAGCAAAUCGUUUUUAAUAAACAACCGGUCAUAUUCAGAAGAAAUAUCAUCACCGUAACGCAUAUAAACUGCUUGUAAAAUUGCGCAGCCGUCAACGAAGAACAUCCAAGCCAGUUCCUCGUCAUCGUCGCUAUAGUUCGCUAAUUCCUGUGGAUCAUAGCAUUUCUUUAAGUCAUCGAUCUCUGCCUUCAUGUUGCUGUACUCCUCAUUGUCGUCAAUGUUUCUGACGAAAUGUGCUGCUAAUUUGAGCUUGAGAUCAUUGGAUUCUUGGAGGGUGCCAUCAUCGUGGUGGAGUGGGCCGAUUGAGAUCACUUUCGGCUUGAAAUACUUCUUGAAAUCUUCGUUACGGCUAAGGGUUGAUGGGACUUUUCGGAUCAAUGGAUUGCAUGUGCCGUUGGAAGCUUUGACUAAUGACGCGAGAUUCGCUAAUUCGCCCUUCCAGCGUAGCAAGUCAAUACGAAUGCUCACGAAAUCGUUGUUGUUGGUGAUUGUUUGAUCAGUGGAAACUGCUCCGACGGCGCCGCCUCCUUCCUCCGUGGACGGCAUUUUCAGGCUGAGCGGUUGGAAGUAAUAAAGAAGGUGAUUUUGUAAACUGUUUUUGGCUGAGUGAGUGAUGUUGGAGAAAAGGUGGCAAAAUGGCUACGAUGAUGACAAAUAUUUUAUAGCCUACAUGAUAAACAUAUAUGGGAAAUACUUAAGGUGUAAUUCAAAUUUACCCCUUAGUGUUUAUAUUUUUAUUAAUAUAAUUUUAAUUUUUUAAUUAAAUUUAAUUCUCUUUUGAAAGAGUCAAUGAUAAAAAAGAAAAGUUAAAUUAAUAUUUUUUAACAAAAAUAGUAAUAAAUAUUAAAAUUAAGAAUAAUAUUAUAGAACCUAAAUACUCAACACAACCCAAAACCUUCGCCUUAACCAAGAAACUAAUACUUCCUAAAUUUCAUUAGCUUAAUAAUAGCUAUUCAAAUAUAUUUUUUCAUUGUAUUACUUAAAUUAUUAUUACUUACUUUAACAUUUAAAUUAUCAUUAUAUUACAUGAUUAGUUCCAAAUAUUUAACAUUGUAACUAUGCUUCUUUAAAUAUAGUAAUUGCAUUUGUUAUUCACAUGUUAUUCACAUGCCAACCAACCAAUUUAUUAUUCACAUUCCUAACUUUCUAAAUGCAUCAAAUAUUUCAUAUUCAUGUACUAACAAAGAUCAUGCCAAGAACCCACAUGCAGAGUCAUUAUAUACCACAUUUAACUCAACAAGACUUUUACAUAACCAAAGAUUACUCCAAACGUUUAUACGCAUGUCGCAAUCCUUGACUCAAAUGAUAAAAAAAAAAACACCAAAUUGACAAUAAAAUAAUGUAAGCUUCGAACGAUCCAAUCGACAUGUUCCACAAUGUAACACCUAAAAGGAAAAAGAAAACAAUGGGGUAAGCAUAUAAGAUGCUUAGUAAACUCAUAUGUAAUCUAAAACUUACCUAGAUUAAUUGAACAUAAAAAUUACUGAAUAAUCUAUCAAAUUUAUUUUUCCAUGGCACGUAGAUAUCGUAUAUGUAACAACAUUUCAAGUCGAAAAUGUUAAAUACAAUGUUGAAUCAUUAUGUCUUCUUUUCUUAAGUUUCACUUAUAGAAAUAUAAUAUAGGUUCAAGUACAAAUAUAUGUCUCGAUUAAUCUAGAAAGAAUUAGACAAAAUUCACAUAUGAUAUACGCAUAUAAUGAGUGUGAGACUCACACAUCACAAUUGAGAAUAAUGUUAUAGAACCUAAAUACUCAACAACCCAAAACCUUUGCGUUAAGCAAGAAGCUAAGACCCUAUCGGAGGGAGAAUUUUAUAUCUACAACACUUCUUAAAUUUCAUUAGCUUAACAAUAGCUAUUCAAAUAUUUAACAUUGUAACCAUGCUUCUUUACAUAUAGUAAUUGCAUUUGUUAUUCUACCCAACUUAUGAAAAAUCUCAAAUUUGCAAUUUAUUAUUCACAUGCCAACCAACCAAUUUAUUAUUCACGUGCCAACCAAUUUGUUUUAUCGAAGUUAUUAUACUUAUAAGCUUUCACAUAUAACCAUGCUUCUUUACAUAUAUUAAUUGCAUUUAUUGUUGUACCUCAUGAAAAUUUUCAAAUUUGCAACAACAUAUUAUUCGCAUGCCAACCAACCACUUUUUUUUAUUGAAGUUAUUAUACUUAUAAGCAUUCACAUUUAACCAUGCUUCUUGUAACACUUUUCAUUGGAUCCAAUCGUUCGGUCCGAUCUACAGGACGCUACAGUCAUUGUCAAAGCAACUACAGUCGAAAUUACGAUAAGAUAAUUUUCAUUUAAACAUCAAGCAAGAUUCAACUACAGUAAUACAUUAAUUAUGAGUUUUAAUCGAGCUUACAAAAGCUUUUUUGGUAGUCCGAACAAGAAUUAGGACCAAACUAUAAAGAUUUGAAAAGUUUGGAGCGACGUCGCAACUUCAGCUUUUCCUCAUCGCAACAUGACCAUCUCAGUAUGUCACAUCAUAUCGAAAAGCCUAUGCUCAUCGCAGCGAGACUCUCUGACUUGGCAAUGUCGCAAUGUCAAGAUUCGUAGCCAUGAUGUGAACUCUAUAUUUGACAAAAAUAUACAAUUUGGUACCUAAUUCAAAGCUCCAACUAAAAUCAUGCAAGAAAAAUACAUUACAUGCCAUUUCUAAAUGACUUAAAACUUACGUAAAACAUGCUAAAUAAGUUCAAACAUAUCAAUUCAAUUCCAUAGCAAUUCAUAUUACCAUUUCAUCAAUUGUAUUCAACUUUUCAAUAACUUAAACUAAAUAUCAACAAGUUAUACAAACAUCUACCAUUACCUUUAUCAUGCCAUAAUGAAUCAUUCCAUUUCAACCAAACAUCACAUUAGUUCUUUCAUUUUUCCUUUGUAGUCAACAUAUGCAAACCAACUUAAAUAGAUCACAUUCCAACUUUCUAAAUACCAAGCUAAGACCCUAUCAGAGGGAGAAUUUUAUAGCUACAACACUUCUUAAAUUUCAUUAGCUUAAUAAUAGCUAUUCAAAUAUUUAACAUUGUAACCAUGCUUCUUUACAUAUAGUAAUUGCAUUUGUUAUUCUACCUAACUUAUGAAAAAUCUCAAAUUUGCAAUUUAUUAUUCACAAGCCAAACAACCAAAUUAUUAUUCCAACCAACCAAAUUAUUAUGCACAUGCCAAACAGCCAAUUUAUUAUUCACAUGCCAACCAAUUUGUUUUGUUGAAGUGAUUAUACGUAUAAGUUUUCACAUAUAACCAUGCUUCUUUACAUAUAUUAAUUGCAUUUAUUGUUGUACCUCAUGAAAAUUUUCAAAUUUACAACAACAUAUUAUUCGCAUGCCAACCAACCACUUUUUUUUAUUGAAGUUAUUAUACUUAUAAGCUUUCACAUGUAACCAUGCUUCUUGUAACACGUUUCAUUGGAUCCGAUUGUUGGGUCCGAUCUACAGGACGCUACAGUCACUGUCAAAGCAAUUACAGUUAGAAUUAUGAUAAGAUAAUUUUCAUUUAAACAUCAAUCACGAUUCAAUUACAGCAAUACAUUAAUUAUGAGCUUUAAUCGAGCUUAUGAAAGGUUUUUUGGUAGUCCGAACAAGAAUUAGGCCAAACUGUAAAGAUUUGAAAAGUUUGGAGCAAUGCCGCGACUUCAGCUUUUCCUCAUCGCAACAUGACCAUCUCAUUAUGUCACAUCAUAUCGAAAAGUCUAUGCUCGUUGUGGCGAGACUCUCUAACUUGGCAAUGUCGCAAUGUCAAGAUUCGUAGCCGUGAUGUGAACCCUAUAUUUGACAAAAAUAUACAAUUUGGUACCUAAAUCAAAGCUCCAACUAAAAUCAUGCAAGAAAAAUACAUUACAUGCCAUUUCUAAAUGACUUAAAACUUACCUAAACAUGCUAAGUAAGUUCAAACAUAUCAUUUCAAUUCCAUAGCAAUUCAUAUUACCAUUUCAUCCAUUGUAUUCAACUUUUCAACAACUUAAACUAAAUAUCAACAAGUUAUUCAAACAUCUACCAUUACCUUUAUCAUGCCAUAAUGAAUCAUUCCAUUUCAAACAAUCAUCACAUUAGUUCUUUUACUUUUCUUUUUUAGUCAUCAUAUGCAAACCAACUUAAAUAGAUCACAUUCCAACUUUCUAAAUGCAUCAAAUAUUUCAUAUUCAUGUACUAACAAAGAUCAUGCCAAGAACCCACAUGCAAAGUCAUUAUAUACCACAUUUAACUCAACAAGACUUUUACACAACCAAAGGUUACUACAAACGUUUAUAUACAUGUCGCAAUCCUUGACUCAAAGUGAUAAAAAAAACUACCAAAUUGACGAUAAAAUAGUUUAAGCUUCGAACGAUCCAACCGACGUGUUCUACAAGGUAACAACCUAAAAGAAAAAAAGAAACAAUGGGAUAAGCAUAUGAUACGCUUAGUAAGCUCAUAUGGAAACUAAAACUUACCUAGACCAAUUGAACAUACAAAAUUACUCAAUAAGCUAUAGAAUUAAUUUUUCCCUGGCACUUACAUACAUAUAGUACAUCUAAUAAAAUUUCUGUUAAAGAAAAACAAUUUGACUCUUUUUCUGAAAAGUUAAUAACUAAAUUUAGCUCAAAUAAAAAAGAAAGAAUAAAAGUCAAUUUGAUAAAAAAUAUAAAUAUUGAAGAUUAAAUUUAUCAUUAUAUCUUUUUUAAGUAAUUAUUUGUGGUGGGCCAUUGUUGACACUAUUUUUUUGAUCGAAAACGGGGUCGGCUUGGGUUUUGAAAAUGAAAACGAAAGCGGGAGUCGCCACCAAUCCUUUUUGAUAAGGUGUGAUUGGGUCACCUUGAAAAGUGGUUGUUUUUAAUAAACGGUUUGAUUUUUAUUAAAACAACAAGUUUGGUCCACGAAAUUCAGAAAAACGGGUUAGGGAGUCGGUUACGCACGAGGAAGGAUUAGCACCCUCGAUACGCCCAAAAUUGGUACCUAGUUGAUUACUUAAUGCCUUAAUAUCGAAAAUUGAGAACUUUGAAGAAUUUUAAAAAUACGAUCCUUGUAUUAAAACGUUGAAAAUUUUCAAAAAAAAGGGGGCAUAUUUCACGUUAUUCGAGAAAGAGAAUCAUAUCAAGUAACUUAGGACACAAUGUCUCGAAUUCCCGAUACGCGAAUGAAAAAUGCUUAUUUAAAAGAUAUUUUAACUAUCUUGGAUUAAAAAAGGGAUCACGACCAGUAAGUUAGGACACGAUCCUUUUUUAAUUCUCGAUAUCGUUUAAAACUUGAGUUUGAUAAGAUUCGUGUAAUAAAGUCUAAAAGAAUAUUCAAUUGUUUAAAUCAAAUGAAGAAAUCGCAACCCAAUACGUUAGGGCACAAUUUCUCAAAAUAUUAAACACUGAAUAUUGCAUUUAUUUCGAAAAAUCCUCGUCUCGAGAAAAUAACGUGUCACAUCCAAUGCGUUAGGAUACAACGUAUUGAAUUCUCGAUAACGAGCUUUUUAUCAUUUUUAAAAGAGUAAUCUCGAUUAUUUAAAUUCAACGAAAAAAAUCAGAACCCAAUACGUUAGGGCUCGAUUCUCUCGAAGGUCUUAAAUAUCGAGUAUUAUUUAUUUUGAAAUUUCUAUUUUUGACGAAUCCGAGUAAAAAGUGAAUGUAAAAUAAUGAUAAUGAUGAUAAUGCAAAUAAAAUAAUGCAUGCAAAUAAAAAGGAUAAAUAAAUAAGAUGAUAAAUGUAUAAUAAAAAGAAAUCAACAAUGUAUACACAAAAUAAAGUAAAUAUGCAAACACAAACUAAUGCACUUAAAUAAAUAAUAAUAAUAACAAUGAGCAUGUAAAUAAAUAAGUAAAUGAACACCAAAUGAAAUAAUAGUAAUAAAAAAUAAAAAAACAAAAUAUAUAUAUAUGUACGUAAGUUAAAAUUUUAAAGUAUAAAAAAUGUAUGUAUGUGUACGUAAGAAUAUGUAUGUAUAUAAAACUAUAUGAAAAUGUAAAAACAUAUAAGUAUGUGUAUAUAUUUAUAAAAAAUAUGUAUAUAGAUAUAUAGAUACAAAUUAUAAAAUAUAAAAAAUACAAAAAUAAGUAUAUACAUAUAUAUAUGAUAAAUUUUGAGAUUUUAAAGAUAUAAAUAAACAAAUAGCAGCAAUAAUAAUUAAUGGUAAAAGUAUAACAUCAAAUUUAUUAUUUAACAAGAAAACAAACAAAAUACAAAAGGACUAAAUUAAAACUUUAAACGAACUUCGGGGCUUAAAUAUGAAACAAACAAAAGGAAUAAUACAGGACCAAAGUGAAACACGCUUAAAGCGUGAGGGACUUGUGGGGAAAUAUUUCCCCGUCCUGAAACGCUGCGUUUCAACCAUGGGCAGCAAUUGGUCUAAGGACCAAAUCGGAAUAGAAGCAAAAUCCACAGGCCGAAAUAAAAAAAUACUACAUUGAAGCAAAUUGUGAAAGCGGAGGGACCUAUUGCAUAAAUAGCCCAUUUCAUGAAAACACGCAGAUCCCCCUGGAGCGGGUCGGAUCACACGCGGGUCAUGGGGCUUAAACGGUGCCGUUUCAAGCUUAUUAUAAAUAUAAAAAAAACCUCAAAAAAUUUUAGUUUCACCUUUCUUUAGAAAAAACAGAGAGCAAAGCUCUCUCUCUCAGGCCUCUAACCGGCCAUGGCUGUCGGCUUUAGCGCCACCGUGGACGGUGGCCGACGUUGCGCAAAAGAAGCCUUUCAUCCCCGAUUCACAACUCACACGAAAACCAGGCCUUCCUAGCCCGAAAGAUAUGAAAAAGGAGGGGUCUUUUGUACCCCUUUCAGUCCGAUUCCAACGUCGAAAAUGGUCUCCGGCGACGGGCUUUCGAGACAGGUAAGUAUCCCUUUUCUUUUCUUUUUCGUUUUGUUUAAAAAGUUAUAGAAAAUAAACAAAAAGGGAAGAAAAUAAACAAAAAAGAAACGCAAGAACCGAAAAAAAAAUAGACUGAGAUCAACCUUUUUUUUUGCUUUUUGAUUUUCUUAUUAAUUCGUUGUAUUUUUGUGAAAAUGUUACAAAAGAAAAGGAAGCCCCCCCAUUUUCGGUUUUUUAAUGGCUUUUAUAUAGCCUUUUACAAGCUUUUUUCUUUUUAUUUUUACUCUAUUUUUGCUUCUUAAUGUUGCGUGUUGCAGGUGAGCAGUUGGGAGCAGGUGAGCGGCGAUGGGACGUGCGCGGCGGCCAACAGAACGGCAGUGGCAGGGCAAGUGGGGUGCGGCAGCACUAGGGUUUCAGAAAAGCUGAAACCCUAGUUUGACCCUUAGUAUUUGGGCUUGGGUCUUGGUUUGGGCUGAAGGGUAUUGGGUUAGUUGGGCUGGUGGGUUAGUUUAAUUGGUUUAGUUUUUUUUGUUUUUGUAAUUGGGCCCGGGCAAAUGGGCUUGUACUGCUGCCCCUCUUUGCUCAUUGUCGUGUAACGAGAAUAGAGCAAAGACUAAGAAAAGCCCAUUUUGCCCAGUUUCGCCAAAUCUUGACUUCUUCUUGCGCUUCUCUUCCUUAAGUAGUUUCACUCCAGUCUACCGUGUUGUGUUGCUCCAACCCACUCCACUGCAACUUCAGAGAGAUACGACUUGUAGUUUCAAUCCACUCUGCUGUAACUUUAGGAGGCGAGUUUUGUGGUUUAAAUUUGCUUCCCUACUACCUUAGGAAGAUAAAAUUCACUGUCUUCGAUCUGCUCCACUACUGCUUAGGGUGACAGAAUCCGCAAUCUUCAACCUACUCCAUUAUUGCUUAGGGAGAUAAGACUAAUGGUUUAAAUCUGCUUCUCCACUAUCUUGGGAAGAUAAGAUUCACCAUCUUCGAUCUGCUCCACUACUGCUUAGGGUGACAGAAUCUGCGAUCUUCAACCUACUCCACUACUGCUUAGGGAGAUAGGACUAAUGGUUUAAAUCUACUUCUCCACUAUCUUGGGAAGAUAAGAUUCACCAUCUUCGAUCUGCUCUACUGCAACUUCAGAGAGAUAAGAUUAGUGGUUUAUAGCUUUAAUCUGCUCUAUAGCAACUUCAGAGAGAUAAGAUUUGCUAUUUUCAAUAUGUUCGUCGAGGAAGUAAGAUUCGCCGUUGCGGCCUCAAUCUUUUAAUUACAAUGUCGAAAAAGCAAGAUUCACCGUUGUGGCUUCAAUCUUUUCCGCUGCACUGCCUGGAAAGUAAGAUUCGCCGUUGUGGCUUCAAUCUUUUAAAUUACAAUGUCAGGGAAGUGAGAUUUGCCGUCGUAGCUUCAAUCUUUUGAAUUGCAAUGUGAAGUGAGAUUCGCCGUCGUAGCUUCAAUCUAUUCUGCUGCACUGCUUGGAAAGUAAGAUUCGCCAUUGUAGCUUCAAUCUUUUUAAUUGCAAUGUCGGGGAAGCAAGAUUCGCCGUUGUGACUUCAAUCUGUUCCGUUGCAUCGACUGAGAAAUAAGAUUCGCUGUUGUGACUUCAAUCUUUUAAAUUACAAUGUCGAGGAAGCAAGAUUCGUUGUUGUGACUUCAAUCUGUUCCGCUGCAUCGCCUGGGAAGUAAGAUUCAUUGUUGUGGCUUCAAUCUUUUAAAUUUCAAUGUCGGGGAAGUGAGACUCGCCAUCGUAGCUUCAAUCUAUUCCACUGCACUGCUUGGAAAGUAAGAUUCGCCAUUGUAGCUUCAAUCUUUCUAAUUGCAAUGUCGGGGAAGCAAGAUUCGCCAUUGUGACUUCAAUCUACUCCACUGCAACGCUAGGAAAGUAAGAUCCGUUGUUGUAGCUUCAAUCUUUUUAAUUGUAAUGUCAGGGAAGUAAGAUCCGCUGUUGUAGCUUCAAUCUGUUCCACUGCAACGCUAGGAAAGUAAGAUCCGCUGUUGUAGCUUCAAUCUUCUUAAUUGCAAUGUCAGGGAAGUAAGAUCCGCUGUUGUAGCUUCAAUCUUCUUAAUUGCAAUGUCAGGGAAGUAAGAUCCACUGUUGUAGCUUCAAUCUGUUCCACAGCAACGCUAGGAAAGUAAGAUCCGCUGUUAUAGCUUCAAUCUUUUAAAUUACAAUGUCAGGGAAUUAAGAUUCGCUAUUGUAGCUUCAAUCUGUUCCACUACAACGCUAGGAAAGUAAGAUCUGCUAUUGUAGCUUCAAUCUUCUUAAUUGCAAUGUCAGGGAAGUAAGAUCCGCUGUUGUAGCUUCAAUCUGUUCCACUGUAACGCUAGGAAAGUAAGAUCUGCUAUUGUAGCUUCAAUCUUCUUAAUUGCAAUGUCAGGGAAGUAAGAUCCGCUGUUGUAGCUUCAAUCUGUUCCACUGCAACGCUAUGAAAGUAAGAUCCGCUGUUGUAGCUUCAAUCUUUUUAAUUGCAAACUAUGGUUUCUUCGAUUUGCUUCGCUGUUAGUACAGGAAGGCAAGAUCUGCUAUCUUCAUUGAACUGUUCUCUAGUGAACAUGACAUUUAUGUUCUAUUUUAUGAACCUAAUUGUGCCUAGUGAUUAGGAUGGCAUGAUCAGAAUGAAUCAACUGCUCCUAACUAGAUGUGUAUGAAUGGCAUUUGCAUGAUGUCAUGAAGAUGAUUCCUUAAUGUUUAAGUUGUUAUUGCUCAUUGCUUUAUCACUGACGUGUUACAACGCCUUCUUGUUUAGCUGGCAUAUCCAAAGAAACACUUAAUCUGAUUGCUCCCCCAUUGUGAACGUCAAAGUUCAAUCCACUGGAUGCAAAAUUUGAACCAUCUUUCUCCCGCUGUAACCCAAGGGUAAAAAUAUAUGACUUUUCCCAAUCUUCUCCUAUCGUAAUUCAAGGAUACAAAAUGUGAAGCUCUUUGGUCCUUUACCCCAUUCCCAAGGUGUCAUACCAAAUGCUUAUGCACAAUUACAAAAUUUUCCUCUCUGAGAAAACCUUUUCUUAUCACUUGGUGAUCAUUGCUUGUUUGUUUAUUGAAGCUUUGUCACCAACACGACAUCUCGUCAUUUUGUCAAUGUUUGGACAACAAAAUCCAGAAGGAUAGUCUUUAACUUAGGCUCUUCCUUCUUAGAUACUUCACCCUUUAAACUUGAUGUUUUCUAAACAAUAGUCCUGUUUCAGGUUCCUAUAUUAUUUAGAAACUUCUAGAGUAAUAUGCAAACUUCCCUUGUGAAAGUAAUAUUUGUCCAUUAAUCAUUAUUCCAAUGCAACAUGCUUGCAAAAAGGGUUAUAACAAUGGAUAAGAAUAAAGAUGGUUCUGAGCAUAGCUCAAAAUGAAUAAAUUAUCAAAAAUAGUAAAGAAUAAUAAAAAAUUUGAUUGGGAAUGUAUAUCUUAGAAAAGAAAAAGUAUUCCAAGAACAACAAAUUUAAUAUAUAAAUAAUAUGAAGGUUGGGUGCCCCAGAUAUCGCAGCUUGAAUUUCUCUGUACAAACUUUUUGAAUACAUGUGUUUAGGAGAUCAACAGGACUUUGUCGAUGCCCCAAGAUGUCGCCUACCCUUUCCUACUGAUUCAGGUAUAGCAAUAUCACCAUAUGCCCCGUUCUGAUCAAAAUUUGAGCUGCUUUGAUCGCCUCAUCCCCCAAUUUGAUCCAAAAUUUGAGUCGCUCUGAUCACUUAAUGUCCCAUUAUGAUCAAAAGUUUGAGCCGCCCUUUUCGGGUUUUCAACUCAAAUCCCCUUUGGUCUCAAGGUGCCCUUUGCGGGUUUUCACCCUGGCCUCUUUUUUUUUUCAACUCAUUGGAUUAGACAUGUCCUCGUUAUCCUUUCCGAUCAAGAUUGACGCUUUUCCAGAUAAGGCCUUCCACAUAAGGUUCUUCCCAUCUUGACAUGAAGUUCUUUUUGUGUGGGAAGGAUCUUCUUCGAUACUAGGUCCUCUCAUGGAAUUCUCUUCUUCUUCUCCCUCUUUUUUUUGAGCUCACAUCAUUUGCUUUUGGCGCAUUUGACCAUGAUGGAUAACUUUGAACAUUCCUCCUCAAUCGAGAUUGGGUCCAAAAACUUAGAAAGAAUCUCGUCUUCAAUAGGCAAAAUCGCAAUAGGCCCAAGAGAACGGCAUUGCCCCAAUAGAGUUUUUUUUUCAAAGUGCCCUUUGCGGAUUUUUACCUUGGUCUUUUUUUCUUCUUUAAACGAAGUGUUUCUUGACUGGAUCCGAGUUUAUAGGAUUAUCAAUCUCACUCAAGAUCAGUGCUCCUCUGAAAAUGGUCUUCUUUAUAACACAAUGACAUCCCCGGCUUGGCAUUCAUUUCCUUCUAGAAUCCUUUCGUUAAGGAAGAAUCUUUUUUAACAUCCAGCCCUCUCGUGGAAUUCUCUGAGACGAGCCUAUUUAUUAUGGGCUCAUAUUAUUUAUUUAUGGUACAUCCGACUCUAAUAAAUAGCUUUUAAUCCCUUUUCCUAGGGUCAACUGAUCACAUCGCGAUUUGAUCCCUCCAACAAGCAAUGAGGGGAUUUUAAUAGGUAAAACUACCUCAAUCCUGUAAACCAAAAAGAGAGGUGUUGCCUCAGUACACAUGUUCGAAAAACGAUGAGGGCAAAUAGUAAUUUCUCAUGCCAGUCCUUGUUCACCUCUAGGUAAUUUGGUGACAAAACGUGGUGUCUGCUUCUGAAUUGAUUUCAGACCUCAGUUAUCAUGCUAUCAUUUAAGUUCAAUGCAUUUUCCAAUACCAUUCUCUCUGAAAAUCUGUAUCGGUAUAGGAUGACCUUGAUUCAUGAAGUAGCCUCUCAAAAAUGAAGCAACGCCCAUUAGAAGUCUUCGAUAAUGGUGCUGUCCAUGCCCCAUUUUGCUCAAAAUUUGAGUCGCCCUUUUUCGGGUUUUCAACUCAGAUCCACUUUUGGUCAAAGCACCCUUUUGCGGAUUUUCGCCUUGACCUCUCCUUUUUCUUUUUCUUUUUUUUCUUUUUUCUUUUUCUCUUUUUUUCUAUUUUGACUUUGAUUUUUUUUUAUUUUUUUUUAUUUUUUUAUUUUUUUUUGAGUCUGAACUCAUGAGAUUAGGCAAGUCCUGGUCAUGCUUUUCGACCAAAAUCAAUGUUAUUCUAAAGUCUUCCACAUAAGAUCUUCCACUUUUAUCUUGUAUGUGAAAAACCUUCUUUGGUACUAGAUUUCUUUCAUAGAGCCCUUUUGGGAGGCAACUACGACAGAAAACUUUGGAUCUUUCUCUUUAAUCAGGAUAAAAUCCAACAACAUCUUGAAGGGAUGGAAACCCGACUUCAAAUGGGCAAAGCUAUGCUGACUCAACGAGAGAGGCAUUGCCCCGGCAAAGAAUUACAUCGUUCGCACUGUAAAUUUCUAACAUCGUGCUGUUGUGCAGGUUUUAUUAUAAGAAUCGAGGCAUACCCCGGUAUGAUCAUAUAAAGACAUCUUUGAACUCUAGAGGUAACUCAAUAAUGUCUUGCUUCGUCUCUGUGGUCAGGUCAAUUCUAGUCUUCAUGAAGCUCACAAUUUCUAAUGAUUCCUUGAGAGGUAGGAUCUGUUUAUCUUCUUGUUCUACCAUCCUCAACGAGUCCGAAGAUAGGCUACAAUCUGUGUCAUCUUCAAAGUCGUGAGAUCCCUCUAAACACAUGUCUCGCUCAAAAUGAGAUUCUGAGUCUGUAGCAGUGUCAUUCAUGUCAUUGAUAUUCAGGGACCUAUUGUAGGUACAAGAGAAUAUACAAAGAAUGUAUGAAUUUAAGAAUAAUUAUCUGCACAGUAUGAUUAUGAAUGAAAGAAUGAUUUGGAUGAAAGAAUAAAAGAAUAAUCAUUCAAGAAAUGAAAGAAUAUUGGUUCAAAAGAUCGCAAAGAUGCAUUCCAUUAAAAUAAUGACGUUCAGACAUGAGCCUAUUUCACAAAAGACUUCUUGUUGCCUCUAGGCUAAAAGCAACAAGUGUGUUUUGAAUAUUACUCUGAGUAAGCUCUAAAUACUACAGAGGUUUCUUUAGAACACUCCCAAGUUUAUAAGGGCGAACAUCUAACAAGAUCUCUUCUCCAGUUGUUUCUUCAUAUUCAGCACUAAUGUGAACAUUUCCCAACAUUUCUUCAUUCAUCGCAUUCCCUUCAUUAUCCGUAUGAUUGAGUAGCGGGUUUUCUGUACUGAGUGAAUCCUCAAAUUUGACAAUGCCCAUAUUGAUGAACCUUUCGACUAGCUUUUUAAAGGCCGUGCAGUUUUCUAUAGAAUGCCCCGUAAUUCCCGCAUGGUAGUCGCAUUGUGCGUUCGUGUCAUACCAUUUGGGAUACGGAGACUGUAUGGGUUUUAAGUAAUGAGGAGCAACAACAUGUGCAUCGAACAAGCUUUGAUACAGCUCCUUAUAUGACAUCGGAAUUGGUGUGAACUGUAGCUUCUCGGUGCCUGGUUUCACUCCAAAUCCUUGCUUUAAAGGAUUCUAAUGUCUGGUGGUUUCUAUUUUUAGCCUGCCCACAGUGAUUGGUUUUGAGUGACCCUUGUUAUAUCUGUUUGUAUUAUCCCCCCUAUUCCCCUUCUUCCUUGGGGCCUUUAUAGUAUCUAGGUACUCUGCCCUCACCUGCUUCAUUUUUACUGGAUCAUCACGAGCAACAGGAAAAUGGUUCCUCAAAUUGGAUCUUGGGCCCGUUAGGCCACUCACUGGUGCUGUUGUACCAGUCUGAUAUUGUUGAGAUCUUAUGGUAAAUGGUGCCCUUUGUGGGUGCCUACCUGGCUGGACCUAGACACUUGUCGGAGUACAAUCUAGAAAAUAAGCAAAAUCCUCAUUAUCAAUCCCAGAGUGGUCUAUCAGGUCCUUCAUUUUUUCUGACCCUCCAGCUAGCAAUCGGUUGAACUGGCUCAUCAUGGUUCUCUGUAAUUCUAGCAUCUGAUCUCUCAUCUCCUGUUGAAAUUCGGUCAAUUGCUCCUGCAUCUGUGUCUGCAUUCGCUCUAAUAUCUCCAACCUUUGGUCCAUUCUUUUAGUUUCUAUUCGGGUACCGCAAGAAUGUUGGUUUUUCAGAUUUUCUGAAAUAAUUUUACCUAAUUAAGGUCACUUCAUGAAAAUCUAAUACAUAUGAUGUAAUGUAAUGCAAAUGCAUGAAAUGAAUGCAAAAAGAGACGUUGAUUCUUGGUUCAAUUCUUAUUAUGACAACUUUACUAGAAAACAAAUCUCUUUACAUAAAGCGGAUAUAUAUAUACGGCUUUGCCCUUAUAUUCCAAGUCAACGAUCAUUUUCUUCAUUCGAGCGUUAAGAUAAAUCUCACGAACUCUUCAAAAGGAACGUCUCUUCUAUCACCCUUUUGCUUGACCCGGGCCGUUACUCACUCAUCCUCGUGAUGCUCGUUGGCUUCUCUUUAAGAAAGUUCAGCGGCUCUCGAAUAAUCCUUGUCAUCUUUAGUCCUCGGGCAUCAGAGCAAUAGUUGUGUUGUCCUCUAUCAUCUUUCUCUUGAUGUGUUUUCUCGGAACAUAUUCGGGCAACCGUAUUAUUUUCCACUUUAUCAAAAGACCCAUUUCCUUAUGACAAGCUCUCUAUUUAACAACUGAAUAUGAAUCAACACCUCUUUUAAUGAUGAAAAUUCAAUGCAAUCAAAACAGAAAAGAAAACAGGUUAGUAUAAAGCAAAAGCAGGCAAGAAUAAUUAGAACACCUAUUUGGGUAAAUACUAGGGGUUCAAAGUGGUUCUACCUAGGGUGGGCUCCUAAGGUUCACUACAUGAGGUUUGGUUCUAAAAUAAAGGUACCCGAACCAGCAGAUUCCUCGAUCUUCACCCAUUAUAGGCUUAUACGGACCGAGUUCAGUUCAGGGGAAUACAUUUCCCUAUGGCUGCACGGAGAUGAAAAUUUCAUGAAGACAUAGGUACGGAUGUAUCCUAAAAGUGAUCCACUAUCCUACACGGAGGUGAAAACCUCAAGAAGGACUAGCUUCUCACUCCCACUUAAAUAGGUGUGACUAACGGUCAUACAAUGCAAUGCAGAAAGGCAUAAAAAAAUUUAAAAUAUAAAACAUGAUGAAAACUCAAAACAAUUGAAAUGCAAUGGGAGGAUCGUCUAUUUAAAUCACAUUUUCAACUUUCGACAAAAAGACAAGAAAUAAUCAACUCGUGGCUUGACUCUCUUAUUUAAAGUCCCCAGUGGAGUCGCCAAGCUGUUGACACCAUUUUUUUGAUCGAAAACGGGGUCGACUUGGGUUUUGAAAAUGAAAACGAAAACGAGAGUCGCCACCAAUCCUUUUUAAUAAGGUGUGAUUGGGUCACCUUGAAAAGUGGUUAUUUUUAAUAAACGGUUUGAUUUUAUUAAAACAACAAGUUUGGUCCACGAAAUUCAGAAAAACGGGUUCGGGAGUCGGUUACGCACGAGGAAGGAUUAGCACCCUCGAUACGCCCAAAAUUGGUACCUAGUUGAUUACUUAAUGCCUUAAUAUCGAAAAUUGAGAAAUUUUAAAAAUUUUAAAAAUACGAUCCUUGUAUUAAAACGUUGAAAAUUUUCAAAAAAAGGGGCAUAUUUCACAUUAUUCGAGAAAGAGAAUCAUAUCCAGUAAGUUAGGACACAAUGUCUCGAAUUCCCGAUACGCGAAUGAAAAAUGCUUAUUUAAAAGAUAUUUUAACUAUCUUGGAUUAAAAAAGGGAUCAUGACCAGUAAGUUAGGACACGAUCCUUUUUUAAUUCUCGAUAUCGUUUAAAACUUGAGUUUGAUAAGAUUCGUGUAAUAAAGUUUAAAAGAAUAUUCAAUUGUUUAAAUCAAAUGAAGAAAUCGCAACCCAAUACGUUAUGGCACAAUUUCUCAAAAUAUUAAACAUUGAAUAUUGCAUUUAUUUCGAAAAAUCCUCGUCUCGAGAAAAUAACGUGUCACAUCCAAUGCGUUAGGAUACAACGUAUUGAAUUCUCGAUAACGAGCUUUUUAUCAUUUUUAAAAGAGUAAUCUCGAUUAUUUAAAUUCAACGAAAAAAAUCAGAACCCAGUACGUUAGGGCUCGAUUCUCUCGAAGGUCCUAAAUAUCGAGUAUUAUUUAUUUUGAAAUUUCUAUUUUUGACGAAUCCGAGUAAAAAGUGAAUGUAAAAUAAUGAUAAUGAUGAUAAUACAAAUAAAAUAAUGCAUGCAAAUAAAAAGGAUAAAUAAAUAAGAUGAUAAAUGUAUAAUAAAAAGAAAUCAACAAUGUAUACACAAAAUAAAGUAAAUAUGCAAACACAAACUAAUGCACUUAAAUAAAUAAUAAUAAUAACAAUGAGCAUGUAAAUAAAUAAGUAAAUGAACACCAAAUGAAAUAAUAGUAAUAAAAAAUAAAAAAACAAAAUAUAUAUAUAUAUAUGUACGUAAGUUAAAAUUUUAAAGUAUAAAAAAUGUAUGUAUGUGUACGUAAGAAUAUGUAUGUAUAUAAAACUAUAUGAAAAUGUAAAAACAUAUAAGUAUGUGUAUAUAUUUUUAAAAAAUAUGUAUAUAGAUAUUUAGAUACAAAUUAUAAAAUAUAAAAAAUACAAAAAUAAGUAUAUACAUAUAUAUAUAUGAUAAAUUUUGAGAUUUUAAAGAUAUAAAUAAACAAAUAACAGCAAUAAUAAUUAAUGGUAAAAGUAUAACAUCAAAUUUAUUAUUUAAUAAGAAAACAAACAAAAUACAAAAGGACUAAAUUAAAACUUUAAACGAACUUCGGGGCUUAAAUAUGAAACAAACAAAAGGAAUAAUACAGGACCAAAGUGAAACACGCUUAAAGCGUGAGGGACUUGUGGGGAAAUAUUUCCCCGUCCUGAAACGCUGCGUUUCAACCAUGGGCAGCAAUUGGUCUAAGGACCAAAUCGGAAUAGAAGUAAAAUCCACAGGCCGAAAUAAAAAAAAUACUACAUUGAAGCAAAUUGUGAAAGCGGAGGGACCUAUUGCAUAAAUAGCCCAUUUCAUGAAAACACGCGGAUCCCCCUGGAGCGGGUCGGAUCACACGCGGGUCAUGGGGCUUAAACGGCGCCGUUUCAAGCUUAUUAUAAAUAUAAAAAAAAACCUCAAAAAAUUUCAGUUUCACCUUUCUUUAGAAAAAACAGAGAGCAAAGCUCUCUCUCUCAAGCCUCUAACCGGCCAUGGCUGUCGGCUUUAGCGCUACCGCCGUAGCGCCACCGCCGUAGCGCCACCGUAGACGGUGGCCGACGUUGCGCAAAAGAAGCCUUUCAGCCCCGAUUCACAACACACACGAAAACCAGGCCUUCCUAGCCCGAAAGAUAUGAAAAAGGAGGGGUCUUUCGUACCCCUUUCAGUCUGAUUCCAACGCCAAAAAUGGUCUCCGACGACGGGCUUUCGAGACAGGUAAGUAUCCCUUUUCUUUUCUUUUUCGUUUUGUUUAAAAAGUUAUAGAAAAUAAACAAAAAAGGAAGAAAAUAAACAAAAAAGAAACGCAAGAAUCGAAAAGAAAAUAGACUGAGAUCAACCUUUUUUUUUGCUUUUUGAUUUUCUUAUUAAUUCGUUGUAUUUUUGUGAAAAUGUUACAAAAGAAAAGGAAGCCCCCCCCCCCAAUUUUCGGUUUUUUAAUGGCUUUUAUAUAGCCAUGGUGAAUUCAUCCCCAACAUUUUAGCAGGCCCAGGUGGAUUCCAAGAACACAAACAAUUAAAUUGGCUAAAUUUAUUCAUAUCAACCAAAUUAUUAAAAUUUUCAAAUAUAUUCAAAAAAAUAGGAGAGACAUUGGAUGAAACCACAAGGUAAAUCACAAACAGGAUCAAAUUGAAAGAAAAGCAAAAUGACAUAGAAGGAACAAAAGAAGGGAGGGCUAAAUCGCCUGAAAAAUUAGCACGUGUGUUAAGCAACAUUGAUGAUAAAACACAUAGGAUAGAGCAUAUGGAAUGUCGCAUGGAAGAGAACAUGUAGAAGAUCAAUAAGGGGCAAAUUAACAAUAUUAUAGAAGAAUUGAGGGGCUUGAAAAGGGAAAUAAAAGAGUUAAAGCGGGAUGUGAAAGAAAUUAAAAUAAAAAUUUGUAUGAAAGAAAGAUAAGGGUAUUCUUUUGCUAGUCAUGGAUGUAAUAACGAAGUUCAAUUUUCGUCGGCAUUGUACGGAAGAAUCGAAGAUGAAGUGAACGAGUUUUUAAGAUUUUUGAAGUUUAAUAUCGAAGGAUUGUCGUAUGUGGGUAUGUGAGUGUGUUUCUAUUGUAAGGAAUGGUGUAAAAAAUUUAUGAUUUAAGGUUUUGUUAUAUAAGGAAGGAAAGCACCUUUUAAGAUUAUUAGAGGCACUUAUUCACGUGUUGUGUUUUGAAUUGAGUUGUACUUUUUUUUAGUGUAUGUAUUAUGGACCUGUUGAUGUGGUACAAGUUUAGUUCUUUUGAGUGCAUCUUGUGAUGUUAAGUAUGUUUUGUUGGGCCUCUUGGCUCCUAUAUUUCAAUGAUAAUAAAAUAUAUUUCAAGCAUAGUACUUUUUGUAUAUUUAGAUUUAAUAUUAUACUUUUAUUUUAAGAUAAUCUUUCUACUACAACAAUGUUUAAUGCAAAUAUGAACUCAUGUUGCAAUUUACUAUUAUCAUCUGAUUGGAAUGCAACAUCUAUUUAAACUUCGACACGAAACUAAAUUCCUCCAUAAACUAGAAAAAUAUCAUUAGUUCUUCGUAAGUUAUUUCACCUCAAUCUAAUGACCAUUGUAGAGGCCCAAUUUUAUUCGGACCAAACAAAUAAAACAAAAAUAAAAACGAAAACAAAUAAAAGUCCAUUAAUAGUCCAAAUUACAAGCCUAAUGACCAAAUCCAUCUGCUAACCCUAAUACCCAAUAACCCAAAGCCCAAUAGCCCAACUAUCCUAAACAACCAUAAACUCUAAUUUCCCCCUAAGCCUCCAGCCGCCGCUCCUUGCCACAUGAGUGAGCACUUCUCCUAAAGACACCCACGCCUUAGGUCUGCCCCCUGCCAUCGUUUCACCAAAAUGGCUAAGGGGCACACCUUCCCUUGUCGUUGACCACUACCAUGGCAUCUGCAAAAGAAGACACAGAGAGUAGAAAUAGAGAAAAACAAAAAGAAAAGAACAAAAUAUUAUAUUUGGUUCGGCUAUAAAGGUUGAACCCUCUGUAAUUUUUAAGUGGGGGAGACCGAAUACAAAAAAGAAAAAAAGAACAACAAAGUUUAAAAAAAGAGGUAGCUUAUCGAUUGUUCUUUUUAUUUUGAAAAAUAUAAAAAACAAAAGGCUCGAUUUUUACCUGUGGCGCUUUGUCCCCUGCCGUCGUGGGAGCCCUUCGUCAGACGAAUAUGUGCAGGGGUGUUUUCUUUUCUUUUCUUUUUCUUUAAAAAAAACACAUUUUUUUGAACUUUCGUUUUUUGGGCCUUUAUGACUGGACAAGAGGGGGUCUUAAAGAGAAAAGAAAGGAAAAAGAUUUUUUUUUUUAAAGCUGACCCCAAAUGUUUUUAUUUUUAUUUUUACUUAUAUAGGACGUACUAUAUGACGUUGUUUUGGCUUAACUUUCAUGUAAUAGCCAGAUGUUAGGCCUAGUCAGAACAGUGGUUUCGGGACCACAAAUUCGACGAGAAAAAAUUUAUUUUAAUUAUAUUUUUAUGGUCUACAAUUUCACGAAAAUAUUUCGUGAAAAUUUCGUUCGAAAAUUUCGACGUUUGGGCACUCAAUUUAGCCAAAACUAAAUUGUAAAAAGUGCAAAAGUUGAGUUCUAUAUGUUAGGAGUGUCUAAUUGUUAUGAAAUUUUAAAUUGGAGGUCCUUAAAUGGAAAUUAGACCAUUGUUUAUGUUAUGGACAAAAAUGAACAUGAAAUAGAUGAAAUAGGAUAUUUUUAAGUUAAGGUUAUUUUGGUAAUUUGGAAAUUAAAACAAAUUAAAAAGACAAAAUAAGCCAAAAUUUCAUCAUCUUCUCAAGGGGGGUGGACGAAUAUCAGGUUACUCCAUGGCUAGGGUUUGUUCAUUCUUUCAAGCUUCAUGGUAAGUCUGUUUUAGCCCUGUUUUUCUUGUUCUUUAUAUUUUUAGAAUUCUGGUAACUUGCUUAAGCUAUUUCUACCAUUAAUUCGAGCUAGAAUUUAUGUUUAAAAAAUUACCCAUAGAUGAAAAGUGUGAAUUUUGAUGUUUCAUGAUAGAAUAUGAAGCUUAGAAUUAUGUUAAACGAUUUUUGCCAAGUGAUUUUCAGUGAAAACAAGUGAAACAAUAUAAUCGAUAAAAAUUAUUAUUGUUCAUAAGUGAAUGUUAGAGUAAGAAUUUGAUGUUUCCAUAGAAGCGAAAAAUGUUUAGUAUGUCAUAAAACAUAAGAAUAAGAGAUGAAGUUUAAUUUCCGAGCUUUGGGGCAAAACUGUAAAUAUGCAAAAGUUUAGGGGCAAAAUUAUAAUUUUUCCAAAGUUUGAGUCAAGGACUGUUUUGGUGAAUGUGAGUGUUAAAUAAUUCAAAUGUGUUAUUAUGGAUCAAGAAAGAAGUGGAAUCGACCUUGAUCGGAGAAAAGAAAAGAUUAAAGACUAAAUUGCUAAAUUUCUAUAUUGUUGCACCAAAAUAAGUUAUGUGUAAAUAAUAGCAAUAUAUUGUUAUAAAUUGUAAAUUAUUGGGAAGUAAGAAUCUUUGUGGAAUUGUCGGAAUAGUAAAGAAUUGAAUAAGGUAUCGAUGAACACGUGUGUAGUACUGUGUGAAGGCUACUACGUGUAUCGAUAAAUAAUGGUCACAUGUGUAGUACUAAGUGAAGGCUACUAUGUGUACCGAGAAGCUUUGGUUACGUGUGUAGUACUUUGUGAAGGCUACUACGUGUACCAGACUGAUAGGUCGCAUAUGUGGCACGGACUGUGUGCAGGCCACCGAUAUUCUGUUAUGAUACAAGAGUGGCACGGACUGUGUGCAGGCCACCGAUAACCUGUUAUGAUACAAGGGUGGCACGGACUAUGUGCAGGCCACCGAGAAUCUAUUAUUACACAAAGGUGGUACGCAUUGUGUGCAGGCCACCGAAAAAUCUAUUUUUAUUUCGACAAGUUCAACGGGAAAUUUAUUAAGUGAAAAUACAUGAUAUGACGGAAUGACUAUGUGAUUUAUAAGUGCAUAUAUAUUGGGAAAAUUAUGAACAAUGUACUCGUUAUUUGAUAGAACUAUUGAUAAAAUGAAAAUGAAAUGAAGUAAGAGAAAUUCAUGAAGGAGUGAAACUUAAAAUAAAAUAGUUUGGACAGUAACAGUGGUGUGACUUUGAAAAAUCACUAAAAAUAGUGUAAAUUGAAUUAGAGAGUGAUUGAGAUGUGAAAUGAAAGCUUAUUGAGUCUAUUUUUAUAUGGAAGAAAUAGAGUAAGUAAAAGAGUUAUAUAUUUUGAGAUAUUUUAAUUUUAGUGAGACAGGGUCGGAUUGAUUUCGGAAUCCCCUGUUCUGAAUUUUGAAAAUCAUUAAAAAUUGUAAAAAAAUAAUUAUGAGUUAUAUUUUAUAUUCUUGGAGUCCUUAAUGAGUAUAUUUUCAAAGAAAACAAACGGAAAUAUCAUCCGAAACCUAUAUACUGAGAUAAUUUAGUUUUACCAAAGAGAGGUCAGAGAUGUUUAGCAGUGAAAUAGGGGUGACUUUAAAGAAUAAACUGUACUAAUUGGCCAAGCCAAAAAUUCUGAAAAUUUUAUGGUUAGAAGAUAUGUGAGGAUAGUUUCGGAGAAAAUUAAUGGAUCUUAAUUUGGAUCUCUGUAACUCUGGAUAAAAAUGAUUUAGUGACUCUGACUCAAAUAGACAGUUUUGAAUUUAAAUAUAAGUGAAUAGUGAAAUUAUGUAUAAUGCUAUUUAAGCAUGUUUUAUACAUAAAGGAUGUGGAAUGGAGAGGAGGAGGACAAUAAAAUAUACGAAUGAUUCGUGUAUAAUUGGCUAUAUGUUCGUUUAUAAUCGAUAGACGCCGAAUUGAAUAGUAGAUUCGUAUCAGUAUUGAAUUUAUUAAUAGAAAUUGUUGAUAUUUGAAUAAUAUGUUUAGUAAUAAACAUAAGGUAAAUAUCGAUGUUGAAUUGUUUGUGAGUUGAAUGAGAACUAUUAUGGAUAUGAUUUGAAUUAAAAGAAUUAUUGUAGUAUUGAAAUGCAAAUUGGAUUGAGAAAUUAAUUUGAAUUGUGAACACGAAGAGUUAUGAAUUGAAUAGAACUGAAAUAAAACAUUGAAUUGUUAUUACUUGUGAAUUAGUCAUUUUGGUACAUAGAUAAUACUGAGUGAUAAUCAUGCUUUGUGAAAUAUCUGUAGUCAUAAGGAUGAUUAUAAAAUAUCUUGUUAUAAGAAUCAUUUGGUUAUGAGAUGUUAUAAAAUGGUGAGAUUUAAUGGUUGAUAUGAAUAUUAAGGCUAAUUUACUAGUCGACUAAUGGAGAAAUGAGUUUGUUGAUGGUUGUAUAUACGAAUUUUUGACAUAUGCUCGAGAUAUGUAAUGUAGUAAUAUGUGAAAUUAAUAUGAAGAGAUUUGUGACUAUUAUUAGUGUUGAUUUUAGCAUAAUGUAAAUUAUUCAAGGUCGAAAUAAUUUAAUGGAUAAAUUGAGUAUAUGAAUGAGUUUGUAUCGAGUCUUAUAGGCUCUAUUAUUUAUGAAUAUAAUAUUUUGAGGAUAGGUUGUAAAGAAUUAUAAAAGCAUGUUAAUAGCUUAAAAAGUUUUAAUUCGGAUGAAAUUUUGUAAAUGGGUUUAAUACGUAUACAAGUGUAUGUGUUUUAGUAAUGCCUCGUACCCUAUUCCGACAUCGAAUACGGGUAAGGGGUGUUACAUUUCAUACGCCUAAAACAACGCCAUUUUGAAGGCCAACCAGAUGACCCGAUCCAGAUCCCCUAAGAUCCACGUGUUUUUGUGGAAGGGGUCUAAUUGCUGCCUUAGUCCUUCUUCCUUUAAGCGCUUUUGAAUAUGGUGCUAAUUUUGUUAUUUUUUCCUUUUUUUAAAUUACACCACUUAAUUUUGAAUUGUUUCAUUUUAGUCCCCAAACUAUCGACCCUUUGGGGAAUGACGUGUACUGGGUUUGGGUUAUUUUCCCUUUUGGUCCUUGCACUUUAUUGCAUUUUUAAUCUGACCCUUUAUUUAUUUAUGCCCUAAAAUUUUGUUAUAGUUUCGAUUUAAUCCCCUGUUUAUUUAAUCCCACCCCUUUACUUUCUGUUAUUUAAUUUCUAGCAUUUAUAAUUUAUGCUAUUUACAUUUUUUCCUACGAAUUUCCCGAUUGUUUUAUUUUGGACUUUUAUUUUUAAUUAUUGAUACUAUUAAUAUUAUUAAGUGAUUAUCGUUGCUAAUUAAUAUUAUUUUUGUUGAAAUUUACUCACAUAUCAAUAUUUUAUCUAAUUAUAUUAUUAUCAUACAUUUUUAUACUAUUUCACUAUUAUUAUCACUAUUAUCAUAUAGUAUUAUUAAUUUAAUAUUACUAACUAAUGUAAUUUUGCCAUCAUUGUACAUUGUAAAUGUUGCCACAUACAUUUAUUUGACGCAAACACAUAAGAAAUAAUUAAAACCGAAGCAAUGUUCAUUAUUUUUGGGAUUCAAGGAGUUGUGCUCCUAACUUACGGAUUAUGAUCUCUCCCUAGAACCAAAAUAACCAAAUAUCUUAUUUAAAACUCAAGACACUUAGGUAAUAAUCAAAUGACGAAUAUUCUUAUUUUCCAGGAUUUGAGAUAUCGUGCCCUAACUUACGAGACAUGGUCCUUUUUCUCGAUUGACUCAAAAUAAAAAAGUUCUUUCCAUAAAAUUUAAUUUAGUUGGCGAUAUUUUAAUAAAAUCAUGCAAGAAGGGAAUUGUGCUUUAAAUUUUCUUUGAAUUCUCAAUUCUCGACACCAAGACAUCAAGUAAUAAACUAGGUACCAAUUUUGGACGUUAUGAGGGUGCUAAUCCUCGUCAUGUGUAAUUGACUCCUGAACUCAUUUACUGGAUUUUGUAGACUAAAAAUCAUCAUUUUAGUAAAUUUAACAUUUUUAUUAAAAUGAUUACAUUUCAAGAUGAUCUGAUCACACCUAAUAAAAAGGAUUGGCGGUGACUCCAUUUUCGUUUUCUAAAAUAAAAAGUCGAUUCCCCCAAAAAAAUAUUUCAACAACCGUCACUUGGAUAACUUUGGUUAUCAGCUCGUGACACUUAGAGCUAUACAAUAUAUUUGGUGUUUUGCACAAUAUGGCAUACAUAAUAGUUUUCACUACCAAAAGUAAUGUUGCCUUACUCAUUCUUCUCUUAUCUUCCAAAGUUUUAGGAUUCAUAUCAUUCAAGUGAUGUAAAACAUGCACCAUUAGCAAUUUUCCAAAAAAAUUAAAACAUUUUCAACAAAUCAAUUUUCAAAAUAUCCCAUUCUGGUGUAAUUAUGUUUAACACUUGUAUUUAUAUAAAUUAUGAUAAAUUAUGAUAAUAUAUGUAUUGAUGUCAUUUUCACAUGUAAAAGUAUCAUAAAAGUCUGUGUGCCAAAUGUUAGAUUGCAUUUUAUCUUGUUUACUCAAAAAAUAAGUAAGUUAGUUUCUAUACAUCAGAUCAAAGAGUAAAUUGAUCAUUUUAUUAAAAUUUUAAUCCUUUUCUGUUAUUAAAAAUUGAUUCAUAUACAUCAAUUUGAGGUACAGUGGCACGUCAUAUGUCAUUAUUUGAUUAUUCAGUUAGUCACACCAGUUUUUAACAUUACAAAUAGAAAAAAAUUUUAACAGAAAUGACCAAGUUACUUUUUGAUCUAACAUAUAGGGACUAAUUUACUCAUUUUUCAAUAUAAGGAGCAAAUGUAAUCCAACUCAAUGUACAAGGACUUCCAUGUUAUUUUCUUUCCAAUUUCACAUUAUUUUAUCAUAUUAUAUUUUAAUUUUUUUAGCAUACACAUAUCAUGUAAAUGGUAUAAUGUCCAAAUUGUCUGGUGUUACUUCACAUGGUUGAUUUCAUUUGUCAAUUACUGAUUGUGGAUUGACAACAUUGACCAUUCUACGUAUGGGGAGCGUAACACCUCAAACCCAACUUAGACGUUAUGGUCGAAUUUAGGAGUGUUACAAAGAAGGGUUUUGAAAUCAGUGUUACUUCGAUAAAACUUUGUAUAGUCGUUCAAUUAAUUAUCCAAGUUUUAUAAUCCAUAUUCGUUUAUAUAGCUAUUACUGAAAGUGUUAUACAAUUAAUUCAUUUGCCAAAACAUAAUUUACAGCGAAAGUCUCAGAAACUAAUAUAUUUUAGGAAUCCAGUUUGUAUUUUCAAAAAAAAUAUUUGUUUGCGUAAAAUUAUCAUUUUCAUAAAUCAUUUUGACAAACCACGCAGGAUAGAAAACAAUCGGAACCAAAACCAAUAGUUAAAACCAUACAAUCCAGAGAGCCCCAAAAAUUACAAAUUCUCAAAUAAAUCCAAAAUUUUAAUUAAAACCGUUAAUUACUAAGUAAAAAUAGUUCUCGGUCAGUGGUCAUUGCUGAGCUCCGUUGCACUAACCCGCCUAAGUCUGUGGAUUACCUGAACAGAACAAACAAACAGAUAUGAGUUUUAAUAAACUCAGUGUGUAACCUAACAGAAAAAGUCAUGCAACAUAUACAUAAUCUCAUAUACAGUCAAAUACAGAUUGGGACAUAAGUCCAAGACAGAAUCAGAUAAGCAGAAUCAGAUAAGUAGACUCCUACCCUCAUCCUCUACACACAAUCUCUGACCAUCCUAUUACACCAUGUGUGGUUAAAAACACCUACCCAUCCUUACACACCAUAUAGUGUCGAUGCGAUACAUAACAGAUAAUAUGCAAUCAACUGCCAAGAAAAGGCGAAGAGUCGCCAUACAGACCACUUCCUCCACAUAUACAAUUCUCACCCCAAACACAAAUACAAAAUACAUAUCCAGAUAUACCAGAGUAAACAUGCUUAACAUGCUCGUAUAUAGAUGGAUACAUACUUAAACAGUACAGUCAGAAAUACACAUAGUAUCCUAAUCAGAUCAGUCUAUCAGAAUAUCAUAACACAUAAUAUAGGGUUUUGGUUAGCCUUUAUCGACCUUACAGCAGGUCCAUAGUCGAUCGGAACGACCCCUGCGACCCUAGAGAACAUUUCAGAAUUAUGAGUCCACAUGCCCAUGUGAGCCCACAUGCUCGUAUGGCCCAUAUGACUUGGCCCAAAACCCACACACCCAACUUCGCCUAGCCCGUGUGACCUACAGGGCCACACUCACACCAUCACACGAUCGUGUCUUAUGCACGACCACAUUCGUCAGUCACAAGGCCGUGUAUCGUACACAGCCAAUCACACGGCCUGGCUCACACCAGAUUGGCAUCGACAGUGCCCUUUUUUAGCUUUCGUCAAACCUCAAUUUUUCGUGUUUAGGGUACACAUCUGGUUUGUUUUAGAUGCUAAGCAAUCCCGAGCCUUCUGAAACCUAAGAAAUAGUGUCCCAUUGACCAAUUAGCAAUCAAUUUACAAAUCGACACUUAACCCGAAAUAACGCACAUAACUUACCAAAGACACGAACUGGCACUAGCGCGAUCUAGGCUAUCGAAGUAAAACUUCACUGCUCACAACCUUCUCCUACAUCACAAAUUUGCAGAAAUCAAACCCCCUAUCUACACUACUACACUACCAUGAAAAGAAAAUAAACUGAUAGCUUACCCAAAUCACAUAAAAAUGUCAAGUCUAGAGUGCAACGUGAAGAACAAAAGAUGAAAAAUAGGUUUGAAAGAAAAGAAAAUGAAUGGAAAAAUCAGAGAUUGAAGAGAAGGAGAAAAGGAAAGAAACGUAAAAAGAAGAAGAGUAGAAACAAUAUCUCAACUCCCCCAUUAUCCCACUACCAAACCGCCCAACUAUCUCACAACUUUAGAGUUUCGGCUCCACCGAACCUCUAUCAUAUAACCGAAGCAAAAUUAUAACCCACACUUAUGCAGGGAUUCAAACAAAAGACCUCCAACACAAUAACUCCUUACUACUCAAACCAGCAGACUCAUUCUGAUAUAAGUUUACAAACAAUAUUCUAUAAACCCACCUAACAAGGAUAAGGCUAAGACAAAAAAAUAACAAAAUUUUCAAAUGUGAGACUUGAAUCCCAAACCUCAAACACAAACCCAAAACAUUUAGCCACUAAAGCAAAUACAUAUUUAUAUUAAGAUUUACAGAAACAAAAAUAAAUUAUUCAAGGCGUUACAGGUAUGGGACUACUCCUUUUCUGCCAUUUUCACUACCCAUUGCAUUCAUUUUCUCUACCCUACUACUCCUCUGCACUGCACUGUCCAAUGCAUUUAAAGACAAGGUAUACAUAUAGAUUGUAAAUUUUCUUGUCUGGAAGCUCACUGUAAGCCAAAAUCAAAACAAACUUUUGAUGGUUUAAUUGUUUUUUAGCCCUUGAAUUUCAGGUGCUAUGAGAAAUGGAUUACAACCUCAUCUUGUUUUAGAACGAGUCCAAAAUUAAUAAUGAAUUUGAAGGUUCAAAAUACAAUUUUAUUAUUAUAUUAAUUUAUAAUUUCAUAAAUUUUAAAAAGGAUUAAAUGAUGAAGUUACUAAUUUAAGAAGACAAUAGGGAUGGUAAAAUCUAAUUGAACCUAUCUACGUUCGGAUCGGGAUGGAUUUUUUUAAUUUAAUAAAUUAAAUAGAUUGAAUCGAAAAUCUAGGAGUUACAAAAUUCUCAUAAAUAACAAGAGUUUACAAAAAGAACACUUACUUGGUUGAUGUAUGGUAUAGUAAGUCUGCAAAGCACUAAGAAGAAGUGCAGCAAUGGCACCCACAAAUGCCAAAAACGUCCAAGGACUCCUAAAAUAAGUAUGAUAACCUUGAGCUGCAUGCUUAAUCCACAUAUUCUUACAAUGAUUAUGUAUUAUCGGACUAGGAACCAAAUCAGUGUUCAUCUUAUUGAAAAGCUUAGCCACUUCUUCAUCACUCCCAAAUCUAUGGUAUAGUAUGCCGGCGUCUCUCAGUUUCUUAACAUCUUCGGCUUCAUCGAUCAAUGAAUCAAGGAAACCCAUAUAUGAAGUAACGGUGAAAUUGUUGUAGAAAUCCGGACACAUUUCGUAAGCUAUUAAGUUCAUGGUUGAAUCAUCGACGGUGAUCGGCGGUAACUGUAAUUUUUCGAGGAAUAAGAAACGGUUGAAACUGACGUCCUUUAAACAACUUGUUUCACUUGCUUUUAACCAUACCCCGGCGUUUUUAAGCUCUUUUAUGUUACAAAUGGUGUGUGAAUGGUGCCAUUUUGUUCUUGUUGGGUUGCUGCGAUUUAUCAAGUACAUGAAAAGUCGAGUGCAAAACCUACAAACCCGCCAUUGUUUUUCUUUUUCUUCUUUUUUGAAAAGGAGUCUUACUCGUAGUAGAUGCAAUAAGUGAAUUGGCUCUUCUUUUUUUUUCAUCUGCUGCCACCAUUCACUAGAGCAAAAUCUGUGUUAGUCGGGAGCCAGCUAAAAUUAAGGUUUUCAACGGUUGAAUCCAUAAGAUCAUUUAUUUAUAAGUUAAAUUUAUCCGAUUUGAAUAAAAAAUUUAAUUCUUUUAAAAAUUAUUAAAUUAUAAAUUUUUAUAUAUAAUAAAAUUAUACUUUUUACUCCUUAAAAUGAAUAAAAAAUUGUUUAACUCUUUUGAAAAAUGAUAAAAUCAUAAAUUAAUACAUGAAAAAGAAUCCAAGAAUCAAAUUAAAUUUGUCAGUUGGCCUGGUUCAAUAGAGAAUCAAACAAGGUAUUGAUCUAGAAUAAUGAGUUAGACCGGUUGAAUUGAGUGAUCAAAUAUAAAUUUUUUUAUAUUUUUAAUAUUUUAAUAUUUUAUUUAAUUAAAUUGAAUUAUCUAAUGAACCGAAAAUGAGACUCUAAUCGAUUCUAUCACUUAUUUUACAUUUAUAAACUCCACAAAAUGAUACUUUUGUAAAUUCCUUAAAUUACCUGUCCUGCUGAUGUGAUUGUGGCUCUUUAACAGUGCUGUCGAUGAACCUUAUGAUUGCCUCCAUGAACUUUUUGCCAUCGUUCGAUCUCGUAAGCAAUUCAAGAACACGAAAAGGUAAUUGGUUUUCCAACAAGAACAGAUCCGAGUACACAAAUGUUAGCAAUUCGUUUUUAAUAACCAAUUCGUUCGACGCACUAUCAUAAUCUUGGCGGCGGUAACGCAUAUAGACUGCUUGUAAAAUUGCGCAGCCGUCAACGAAGAACAUCCAAGCCAGUUUCUCGUUAUCGUCGCUAUACUUCUCUAAUCCCUUUGGAUCAUAGCAUUUCUUCAAGCCAUCGAUCUCUGUCUUCAAGUUGUUGUACAAGGUAUCCUUAUCGACGCCAAUGUUUUUGACGAAAAGUGCUGCUAAUUUGAGUUUGAACUUCUCGAAUUCAUGGAGGGUGGGAUCAUCGUGGUGGAGUGGGCCGAUUGAGAUCACUUUCGGAUUGAAAUACUUCCUGAAAUCUUCGUGACGGCUAAGGGUUGAUGGGACUCUUUGUAUCAAUGUUUUGGCAUUGGGGUCGAGUUCGUCGCCGUCGAAAGCUACGUCUAAUGACCGGAGAUUCCGUAAUUCGCUAUUGCUGCGAGUGAAGUUCGUACCUUGCAUUGGAAUGAUCGUCUCUAGGGGAUUGUUGUUGGUGUUGUUCUUGAUGAUUGUUUGAUCAGUGGAAACUGCUCCGACGGCGCCGCCUCCUCCCUCCGUGGACGACAUUUUCAGUCUGAGCGGUUCGAAGUAAUUAACUAGGUGAUUUUGUAGACUGUUUUUGGCUGAGUGAGUGAUGUUGGAAAAAAGGUGGCAAAAUGGCUACGAUAACGACAAAUGUUUCUAUAGCUUAUAUAAUAAACUUAAGGAAAAUAUUUUUGGUGUAAUAUCAAAUUUCGCUUCUAAUUUUUAUUAUUUUCAAUUUGAUUUUUAUUUUUUUAGUAAAAUUUAGCUUUUUACUUUUGAAAGAGUUAAAUUGAUUAUCAAUCCUUAAACUGAAUUAAUUUUUUUCAAAAAUAAUGACUAAAAUAUUAAAUUUUAAACAUGAUCACUCAUAUGACAAUUCACGUGUACAUGUUUUUUUUUAUUUUAAAAUUAUUUAUUGACAUGGCAUAUUAGAAAAGGACUAUUAUGUUAGCAUGAAGUGCAUAUAGAUUGUUACAUGAGUUGUAACACCAACACCGUAAAAAUUUAAUAUUUUAGUCAAUAUUUCUGUAAAAGAAAAGCAAUUUGACUUUUUUUUGAAAGGUUAAUAGAUAAAUUUAGCUCAAAUCAUAAUAAUAAUAAUAAAAGAAAAAGGUUUUUUUAACAAAAAAAUUGUAAAUGUCGAGGACUAACUUUAUUAUUAUAUCAUUUUUUCAAGUUUCACUUAUAAAAAUACAAUAUAGGUCCAAGUACAAAUAUAUGUCUGGAUUAAUCUAGAAAGAAUUAGACAAAAUCCACACAUGAUAUACGAAUAUGAUGAGAGUGAGACCCAUUUUAUAUCUACAACACUUCUUGAAUUUCAUACUCUUAAUACUAGCUUUUUUGUUUCUUUUUUUUUUUUUUGCUUCAUUUGAUCUGUUUUGUUGUAAAAAACAAACAGAAAAAUAUUCAAAAGUUUAACAUUAUAACAUUCCAAAAGAAACACAUUCAAUCACUAACAAAUCUACGUUUACAUCAAAGCAAUAGCUCACUAUCAAGCUUUGAACAUUUCCUCACGAUUUACCCCUGCAAUCGCCAAGGAAGAUACCAUUUCGUUUCCAUUCUUUUUUGCCAUAAAAAAACAACAUUUCCUUCAAAUACAUUUGUUUUCAUUUUUAUCAUUUAAGUUAUUUUGAAUUACUUUAGUAUUUAAAUUAUCAUUCUGUUAUACGAUUUAUUUCAAAUAUUUAACAGCAUUAAGAAAUUUAAGGACUAAAUUAAUCCAUUUAAUAGUAAAAGAAGUAAUCAAAUCAAUCCUAUAAUCUUAAAAUUACUUUUAUUUUUUGGAAAUACAGAGAGAAUAAAGAUGGUGCAUCUAAUUCAACCUUCUAAAAUUGACAAUUGUACUUUGCCAAGUUACGAAGUUUGGUAUUUGAUCUUACUUUUCUUUUUCUCUAGUAGGAGCCACUCUCAUGACUUUAUCAAAGGAUUUUGUUCCAACUGGCUGGCCACUUUAAUUUAAUUUUUUUAAAAAAUUAUAAAAAUAUUAAUUAAUACAAUAAUGAAAUUGCGUUUUAAGUAUUAUCAAAAUUUAUAACUUAAUUCCGAUCUUUCAAAAAAAUAUCUGACUUCGCCUUUAUUUCCGUACUAAUAAAAAUUCUAAUCUAUAUCAAUAGCACUGAGGGAACAUUGUGUCUUGAUUAAUAUAUGAAUGAUAUAUAUAUAUAUAUAAAUACUUCUUUUUCCAACUUUAAACUUUUAACUAAAUUAAAGUAGAAACUUUAAUAUUUUAAGUAGAAAAUAAAAUAAAUAAAUAAAAAUUAUUUAACGAGCACACAUUCACGUGUAUGCUUUUAUUAAACUUCAAUAUGGGAUCAUUUAUGGAUUUUUUAAAGUAAUAUUAUGGAUAACUUUUUGUUUAAUGUAUUGGUUGGGUUUAUUUAUUUAUUUAUUUUGAAUUGAUAAAUUUUAUUUGUGAAAUUUAUUGAUAAGUGUUUAUUUAAUUGAUUAAUAUUUUUAUAUUUAAAAUUUAUUUAACCUUAUUCACUUAAUGAUUUUAAAUAUUUCAAAAUUUUAUAUUGAUAAUUUUGAAAGGAUAUACCCAUUCAAAACAAUUUACGUGAAGGACUAUCUGUAAUAGAACAUAUCAUUUCUAGCUACGGAGCCCGAAAAGGGGUUGUCGAUACCGCCGUACGAAAAUAAGAUACUGAAUAUCUUAUGUGCAGACUUAUUAAAGUAGUUCAACACUGAACAUUUCUUAACCAUAAGAUCGAUCACAAGAAUUCUUCUUUGAUGAUUUUGUCUUUGCCACGAAAUCCAACAUGCAGUGUCAACAAAAACAUGUGCAUAAAUUUUGCUUUCUUUAAAAUGGUGGUAGUGUCUAUAAUUCACUCUACUUUAUUUGAAAGCUAUAGUUACAUUACCCUUGCUUUUUUUACGUAUAUUAAUUGCAUUUUUUGUUGUUGUACCUAACUCAUGAAAAAUAGACAACCAAUCAUUUUUUUGUCUUUUUGGUGUAAUUAUGGUAAAAUAAUUUUGAUUAUCUUUCAUAAAUUCAAUCUAGAACAUAAAAAGUUUAUCAAAUACUAUUUUUAAAACGUUGUUCAGAAGUUGUUUAAUUAUAAAAAAGUUACAAAAUGAUCAUUCAUCUAUUAGUAAAUUUUUAUUUUUGGUCAUCCAACUAUUUAAUUAUUUGUCUUUUUUUGUCGCCAGCCAGUUAACAUAAAAAUAAAAAUACCCAAAAAUCCAAGAUAGUUGAGUGACAAAAAAGAUAAAAUUAAAUAGUUGAAUUACUAUUUUGUAACUUUUUAUAGUGAAAUGACAAAAAAAGAGAAGAAAAAAAGUCAUAGUUUACUUUUGCAAGGAUAAUUAAGAAGAAAAUGUUAUCCCAACAAGACAGGUAGCAACAGUUAUUGAAGAAUCUAUACAAGGAAAAGGGCCUUAGGAUUAAUUUGCUAGUGCCACAAUAAAAAUUUCAAGCAUACAACAACAGCCAGCGAAAUCUAAGAAAGGUAUGCACUAAUAAAUUGUUUUUAAGGUCAAGAUACAAUUCUACCAUAUAUUAACAUGUAAAGUAAAAAUUUUUAAAAAGACCCAAAGUAUAAAUUCCCAUUUUAGGGACCAGAGUCUUGCCUACCCUUUUGCCACCCUCCUUAGUAAUUUAUCUAUUUUGGUUUUAAAUUUUUUUUUGUCUAAAUUAAUCCAUAGUUUUUCUUAAAUUAGUCUUUGAACUUUUGUCAAUGCUGCAUCAUUACUUGGAUUUAUUCUUUUUAGAUUUUAUGUAAGUUUUUUCAAAUGAUUACAUGGCUUUAAUAGAAUUCAAGUUUAAUGACUUAAUUAAAAAAAUUUGUUAAGUUCAAAGAUUAAAUAUUGUUUUAUCCCUAAUAUUUGUUACCGUGUUUUAAAAGUUCAUUGAAUUUCUUGCCUGCUAAAAACUAGUCCAUGCAUGUCAGCGUAAGGUACACGUGGCGCAUCAUUUGUCAUUUUUUAGUUAUUUCGUUAGCCACACUAAUUUUUAACAUUACAAAUAGAUAAAGGUUUUAACAGAAAUAACCAAUUUACUUUUUAAUCUAAACAUAUAAAGACUAAUUUACUCAUUUAUUAAAAUAAGAAACAAAAUACAAUCCAACGCUUAAUAUAAAUACUUCCAUAACACUUUCAUCCAUUUUCACAUUAUUUUAUCAUAUAUAUAUAUAUAUUUACCAUACGCCUAUCAAUUGUCAAUUAAUGUUCAAAUUGUCUGGUCUUGCUUGGCAUCAUUGAUUUCAUUUGUCAAUUAAUGAUUGUAGAUUGACAACAUUGAUCUUUCUAUGCACGGGGAGGGGACUACUCCUUUUCUGCCAUUUUCACUACCCAUUGCAUUCAUUUUCUCUGCCCUACUGCUCCUCUGCGCACUGCACUCUCCAAUUGUAUUUAAAGACAAUAUGUACAUAUAGAUUGUAAAUUUUCUUGGCUGGAAGCUCACUGGAAGCCAAAAUCAAAACAAACUUUUGAUGGUUUAAUUGUUUUUAAGCCCUUCAGUUUCAGGUGCUAUGAGAAAUGGAUUACAAUUUAGUUUUGAAAUAUAUAUUUUUAUUGAAGUGAAAAUGUAAUUUAAUUAUAUUGAUUUGUAAUUUUACAUUUUUUAAAGGGACUAGAUCAAAUUUUUAUUAUUUUGGAGAUCAAUAUGCAAUUUCACAUGUAAAAUUACAACUUUCAAGAAGACUCAAAGCAUAAAUUACCAUUUUAGGGGACCAAGGUCUUGCCUACCCCUUGUCGCCACCCCUCAUUGGUAAAUUUUCUACUUCGGCCUUUGAAUUUUUUGUCUAAAUUUAUCUUGAAAUUUGAUAGUUUUUCCUAAUUUAGUCCUUGAACAUUGGUCUAUGUUACAUUUUGGAAUUUUUUUUAAAAAAAAUUUUAAAAUUUCAAAUGAUGACAUGAUUCUUUAACAAAAUUCAAGUUCAAGGAUUAAAUUUUAAAAAAAUUGUUAAGUUCAAAGACUAAAUAUUACAUUAUCCUUAAUAUUUGUUAACCUGUUUUAGAAGUUCAUUGAAUUUCUUGCCUGCUUACUUUUGUUAUUAACCAUUGCAUUGUUCUUCUUUGUUUAAUUUUAGGCCCCAUAAUAAAAAAAAACGGAUGAGAAAUUCCUAAAAUCAUUAGAAACAAGAAAAUAUGAUCUCAAAUCCAAUGAAUUAUCUAAUCAAGUUACAGAGACUUAGGCCUGGCUAUGGUGAAUUCAUACCCUACAUUUUAGUAGGCACAGGUGGAUUUUAAGAACACAAACAAUUAAAUUGGCUAAAUUUACUUAUAUCCACCAAAUUAGGACAGACAUUGGAUGAAACCACAAGGGAAAUUACAAACAACCAACCCCUUUUUUUUUAUUGAAGUUAUUAUACUUAUAAGCUUUCACAUGUAACCAUGCUUCUUGUAACACAUUUCAUUGGAUCCGAUUGUUGGGUCCGAUCUAUAGGAUGCUACAGUCAUUGUCAAAGCAACUACAGUCAGAAUUACGAUAAGAUAAUUUUCAUUUAAACAUCAAUCACGCUUCAAUUACAGCAAUACAUUAAUUAUGAGCUUUAAUCGAGCUUACGAAAGCUUUUUUGGCAGUCUGAACAAGAAUUAGGACCAAACUGUAAAUUGGCUAAAUUUACUUAUAUCCACCAAAUUAUUAAAAUUUUAAAAUAUAUUCAAAAAAUUAGGACAAACAUUGGAUGAAACCACAAGGGAAAUUACAAACAGGAUCAAAUUGAAAGAAAAGCAAAAUGACAUGGAAGGAGUAAAAGAAGAGAUGGCUAAAUUGCCUGAAAAUUUAGCACCUAUGUUAAGCAACAUUGAUGAUAAAACACAUAGGAUGGAACCUAACUCAUGAAAAAUCUCAAAUUUGCAACCCCAUAUUAUUCACAUGCCAACCAACCAAUUUUUUUUUUUUGCCCUUUUUGGUGUAAUUAAGGUAAAAUAAAUCUGGGCCAACCAACCAACCAAUUUAUUUUUUUGUCCUUUUUGGUGUAAUAAAGGGACUACAAGACAGGUAGCAACAGUUAUUGAAGAAUUAGUCACGUUUUAAAUAUUUUCUUCUAAGUAAGCACAACGACAUUAAGAAAUUUACUUUAAAAGAGUCUAUAUAAGGAAAGGGCCUUAGGAUUUGCUACUGCCUCACUCGCUUCAGCAACAAUCGCUUCUAAUUUUCAGUCUGAGCGGUUCGAAGUAAUUAACUAGGUGAUUUUGUAGACUGUUUUUGGCUGAGUGAGUGAUGUUGGAAAAAAGGUGGCAAAAUGGCUACGAUAACGACAAAUGUUUCUAUAGCUUAUAUAAUAAACUUAAGGAAAAUAUUUUUGGUGUAAUAUCAAAUUUCGCUUCUUAUAUUUAUUAUUUUCAAUUUUAUUUUUAUUUUUUUAAGUAAAAUUUAGCUUUUUACUUUUGAAAGAGUCAAAUUGAUUAUCAAUCCUUCAAAAAAAGAGUCGAAUUAAAUUUUUUUAAAAUAAUGACUAAAAUAUUAAAUUUUAAACAUGAUCACUCAUAUGACAAUUCAUGUGUACAUUUUUUAUUAUUAUUUUAAAAUUAUUUAUUGACAUGGCAUAUAAGAAAAUGGCUAUUAUGUUAGCAUGAAGUGCACAUGGAUUGUCACACGAGUUGUAACACCAACAACAUAAAAAAAAUUAAUAUUUUAAUCAAUAUUUCUGUUAAAGAAAAGCAAUUUGACUUUUUUUUGAAAGGUUCAUAGCUAAAUUUAGCUUAAAUAAUAAUAAUAAUGAUAAAAAAAUAAAAGUCAAUUUGACAGAAAAUGUAAAUGUGGAGGACUAAAUUUAUUAUUAUGUCAUUUUUCUAAGUUUCACUUAUAAAAAUACAAUAUAGGUCCAAGUACAAAUAUGUGUCUGGAUUAAUCUAGAAAGAACUAGACAAAAUCUAUACAUGAUAUACGCAUAGAUGAGAGUGAGACCCAUUUUUAUAUCUACAACACUUCUUGAAUUUCAUACUCUUAAUACUAGCUUUUUUGUUGUUUGUUUUGCUUCAUUUGAUCUGUUUUGUUGUAAAAAACAUAAAGAAAAACAUUCAAAAGUUUAACAUUAUAACAUUUCAAAAGAAAACACAUUCAAUAAGUAACAUAUCUUGUAUUCUUGUAUUCUUUGAUCAAAUAGUGCAAGUGUAUUUAUACAGACUUUUGGAGGGUAACUACUGAACUGCUACUAACAACUUUUUAGCAGAAAGUUUAACAACUUAACCACCUAACAGAUUGCAUUUACCUAUGCUCUAAGAUUCUGUAAUGCGAAAUCAUACUUCAAAUUGUAAUUAUUACUUCAUAACAAUACAAGAUUUUCGUUACAAUGCUAGGAUUACUUAUAAACCCCAACCAUAAAUGAGAGGAUAAAGAUACUUUAAUAAGUUCGAAUCUUUGUCCUUUUGUAUUGACAAUAAUACUGAUAUCAAUCGAACUAAAAUUCAGUAUAACAAUGGUUAAAUGAAUUUUAAGUACACAUAUUACUCUUAUGAUGUAAGUAUUUAGGAUAAAUCACCCUCCAUGGUCAAACAAAUGGACCCAGGCUAUAAUUUGUAUAUAAAAAAAAAUUAAAAAGCAUUAGUAAAAUGUAUAUAAAAUUUAUUAACUUUCAAUAUUUAUAAUAAAUUAAACACAAAUAUAAUAUAAAAGCCUUGAUGCCUUGAAUCCUUUAGGGCUCUUCAACCUGCCUUUAAUUUUUGUGUUUGGAUGAUCCUUGGCUGCCACAAAUUGAAGAAAGAAAAUAUAAAAGCAUUUCCAAACAAAUACACACAACAAAACACUUCAGCAUGUAAGAAAUUUAUAUUAUAAAGGUUUUGGUUUUUGGAUUGUAUCAUUAAGAAUAAAAUUAUUUUAGGUAAAAGAUUGUUUCGGGUUAAUGUUAAAUGAGUUUGAAUUGUUAACUUUUUAUGGUAAAAUUGAAUUGAGUAAUUAAAAUUUUAAAUUCAUGCAUUUAGUUGAAAAUAUUUAAAGAAUAAAAAAGAAAUCAAUAAAUUUUAGAAAAUUAUCAUUAAAUCUUUCAAAAUUUUGACAUUUGUACUUAGAAAUCUUAAUUUAAAAAAAAAAAAUCCUAAUUAAGCCUUGUUGAAAAUUUCAAAAGUUAACCAUUAAUUUUAUCAUAAAUUUUGAUUAAAGCUCUUAAAUUUUAUUUUUAAAAGAAAAUUUCAUUAAAACUCCAAAAAUUAAAUAAAUUGAAUCGAAAAUCCAGGAGUUACAAAAUCAUCAUAAAUAACAAGAGUUUACAAAAAGACAAGUAAAGAACACUUACUUUUGUUAAUGCAUGGCAUAAUAAGUCUGCAAAGCACUAAGACUAAGUGCAGCAAUGGCACCCAAAAAUGCCAGAAACGUCCAAGGACACCUAAAAUAAGUAUCAUAACCUUUAGCUGCAUGAUUAAUCCACAUAUUCUUACAAUGAUUAUGUAUUUUCUCUUUAACCCCACUGUAAAUCAUCGGACAAGAAACCAAAUCAGUGUUUAUCUUAUUGAAAAGCUUAGCCACUUCUUCAUCACUUUCGAGAGAGCUUUCGGACCGGACCAGGUGGCCCGGCACACUAACAACAAGGCAGGUUCCAACAGUUAUUGAAGAAUCUAUAUAAGGAAAAGGGCCUUAGUUUUUGGUAGUGACACACUCACUUUAGCAACAAUCACUUAAAAUUUUCAAGCAUACAACACCUGCAGCAGCAGCAGCCAGAUAAAUCUAAGAAAGGUAUGCACUAAUCAAUUGUUUUUAAGUGCUAAUAUUUAGGGAUAAAAGUAGAGGUGAUCAUGGGUUGGACUACCCGACCCGGCCUAAUGGCCCACCCGAAAAAUGAGAGGGCUCGGGUAAAAAUAUAGGCCCAAAAUAUGAGUUUGGGCAAAAAAAAGAGGUCCGUUUAGAAAACGGGCCGGGCCUCGGGUAAGACCUUUUUGGCCCAAGCCCGACCCAAAUUAUAUAUUAAAUAUAUAUAUUUUUAUUUUAUUUUUAAUCAAAUAUACUUUUUAUUAACUAUAUAUAUUUUUUGGACUUUUAAUCCGAAUUAUAUAUUAAAUAUAUAUUUUUAAUUUUAAUCAAAUAUGGGCCAGGCCGGGCUCAGGCUUAGCAAUUUUCUUUCGGGCCGGGCCCAAAAUGGGCCUAAAUUUUUUGUCUAGGCCCGGCCCGGCUCAAACCUGACCCGACCCGGCCCAUGAUCACCUCUAGAUAAAAGUAAUGUCUAAUUAUCUAAAUUUGAUAAUAGGAACGAAGUUAAAAAAGGUUUUACAAGUUUAAGUUUUUAAAUAUAUAUUUUUAUGAAAGUUAAAAUGUAAUUUAAUCAUAUCAGUUUGUAAUUUUACUUUUUUUUCUUAAAGGGACUAGAUCAAAUUUUUAUCAUUUUGGAGGUCAAUAUGCAAUUUUACCAUGCAUUAACAUGUAAAAUUACAACUUUAAAAGAGACCCAAAGCAAAAAUUUUCAUUUUAGAGGACCAAGGCCUUGCCUACUCCUCAUUGGCAAUUUAUCUACUUUGGUCUUUGAACUUUUUUUUUUUGUCUAAAUUAAUCUUGAAAUUUGAUAUUUUUUUUUUAAUUUAGUCAUUGAACAUUGGUCAAUGCUACAUCAUUACUUGGAAGUUUUUUUAAAAAAAUUCUUUUUAUUCUUUUUAGAUUUUAGGUAAGUUAUUUAAAAUUUCCAAAUAAUGACAUGGUUGUUUAACAGAAUUCAAGUUCAAGGACUAGAUUAAAAAAAUUGUUAAGUUCAAAGACUAAAUAUUGGUUUAUCCCUAAUAUUCGUUACCCUAUUUUAGAAGUUCAUUGAAUUUCUUGCCUGCUUACUUUUGUUAUUAACCAUUGCUUUGUUCUUCUUUUUUUAAUUUUCGGUCCCAUAAUCGAAAAAAAUGGAUGAGAAAUAUCUAAAAUCAUUAGAAACAAGAAAAAUAUGAUCUCAAAUCCAAUGAUUUACCCAUAUCAAGUUACAGAGACUUAGGCCCUGGCUAUGGUGAAUUCAUCCCCUACAUUUUAGGCCUAGGUGAAUUCCAAGAACACAAACAAUUAAAUUGGCUAAAUUUAUUCAUAUCCACCAAAUUAUUAGAAUUUUCAAAUAUAUUCAAAAAAAAUAGGAGAGACAUUGGAUGAAACCACAAGGUAAAUGACAAACAGGAUAAAAUUGAAAGAAAAGCAAAAUGACAUAGAAGGAAUAAAAGAAGGGAGGGCUAAAUUGCCUGAAAAAUUAGCAUGUGUGUUAAGCAACAUUGAUGAUAAAACACAUAGGAUAGAGCAUAUGGAAUGUAGCAUGGAAGAGAACAUGUAUAAGAUCGGGCAAAUUAAAAUUAUAGAAGAAUUGAGGGGCCUGAAAAGGGAAAUAAAAGAGUUAGAGGAGGAUGUGAAAGAAAUUAAAAUAAAAGUUAGUAUGAAAGAAAGAUAAGGGUAUUCUUUUGCUAGUCAUGGAUGUAAUAACGAAGAUCAAUUUUCGUCGGUGUUGUAUGGAAGAAUUGAAGAUGGAGUGAACGAGUUUUUAAGAUUUUUAAAGUUUAAUAUCGAAGGAUUGUUUAUGUGGGUAUGUGAGUGUGUUUCUAUUGUAAGGAAUGGUGUAAAACAAUUUACGAUUUAAGGUUUUGUUAUAUAAGGAAGGAAAGCGCCUUUUAAGAUUAUUAGAGGUACUUAUUCUCGUGUUGUAUUUUGUAUUAAGUUGUACUUUUUUUAGUGUAUGCAUUAUGGACCUUUUGAUGUGGUACAAGUUUAGUUCUUUUGAGUGUGUCUUGUGAUGUUAAGUAUGUUUUGUUGGGGCUCUUAGGCUCCUAUAUUUCAAUGAUAAUAAAAUAUAUUUUAAGUAUAGCGUAUUUGUAUAUUUAGAAUUUAAUAUUAUACUUUUAUUUUAAGAUAAUCUCUCUACUACAACAAUGUUUAAUGUAAAUAUGAACUCAUGUUGUGAUUUACUAUUAUCAUCUGAUUGGAAUUAGACCUGAUCAUGGCCUGACUCAGUCCAAAGGCCCGCUCGAAAUGUGAGAAGGUUUGGGCAAAAAUAUAUGCCCGAAAAAUAGGUUUGGACAAAAAAGUAAGGUCCGUUUAAAAAAUGGGCCGAGCCUCAGGUAAGGCAUUUUUGUCCUGAGCCCUGCUCGAAUCCACUAAAGGACAAAAAAAUAUGUUUUUUUAUAUAUUAUUUUCUUGUUGUUUUCUCCCUAUUUUCUCCCUAUUUUACUAUUAUGUUGCUACUAUUUUGUUAUUAUUAUUUGGAUAUUGUAUAAAACUUAUUUUAUUAUUAAUUUUGUUAUUAUUUUAAAGACAUUUGUUAAUUUUGUUAUUAUUUUAGAGACAUUUGCUUGUUAAAUUGCAUCAAUCUUAGUGUUAUUUAAGUAUAUAUAUAUUUAAUUUUUUUUCAAUUUGUUGAGAAAGAUUUAUUUUGAUAUUUUUAGUAUUUUUGAUGUAUUAUGUAUUUUUUAAAAUUAUAUAAAAAAUAUUAUAAAAAAUAAUAUGGUCGGCCGGGUCGGGCCUGAGUUUUAGCAUUUUUAUCCAGGUCGAGCUUGGGUAAAAUUUUAGGCCCAUUUUUUGGGUCGGGCCCGGGCCUAGCAAACGGGACUAAUUUUUUAGUUGAGCUCGGCCCGAACCUUGCCCGGCUCGGCCCAUGCUCACUUCUAAUUGGAAUGCAACAUAUAUUUAAACUUCGACAUGAAACUAAAUUCCUCCAUAAAUUAGAAAAAUAUCAUUAGUUCUUCUAUAAAUUCAGCAUUUGAUUGUUUUUCUAGUUUGGUAAUUUAUCAACUCAAUCUCGAUUAUAACCAACUUUUUUGACAUUUUUUCACACCUUUAACCUAAUCACCAUUACAACCUCUUGAAGACCUCUUGAUUGGUGUGUCAUAUCAUUUUAUAGUGGUGGAGAUUUGAUUUUCAAGCAAGCCUAUGGAAAUGACAUUUCUUGUUCGACGGUUGAGUGCAAAUUUCUUGAACCUUAAACACUUUGAGUGCUUUAAGUGAAUCUUUAGUGAGGAUGUCAAUAUUUGUUGAUUUUGAAUUAAAGAUAAUUAUUUAAAUAAGGGGAGACACCUAUGUUUUCGCACGUUAAAAUUUCGAUUUGAAUUGUUUGGAUCUUUAGUGUCCUUUUAGUUGAAUUGUCAAUGCAUGAUUGUUUGCGAAUUAUUUGAAGGAGUAUUGAUGAGAAUUACGAAUUGAGAAAUGUUAACUUUAAUGUGGGUUGAGGAUUUUUCUUUAGGAUAAGCAAACACUUAAGUGUGGGGUAUUUGAUAAGUGAUAGAAGUAACAUAUUUUAAUCUAGUUCUUAAUGCAUUUUUGGAUGAUUAUUUAUGUAAAUUGGUGAAUUUUAUGCUCCUAAUCUUUUAAAUUCUUGUUUCUAUACUUAGGAGAGCAUUCGGGAGCAAAAAAAGCGAAAAACAAGCGAAAAUCGAACAAAUAGAGCAAAUUUCAAGAGCCACAUGGCCUUGUGCUAGAUAUGUUGAAUAUUUCAUAAUUCAUGUCCCAAACACACGGAAAAACGUAAUUUUUAGGCUUUUUGGGUAUUCUAAACCCUAUAAAUACCAAAUAGAGGAAGAGAAUAGGGGGUGAUCAGAGAGUAUUGAAGAAAACAACUUGGAGAAUACCAUUAAAGCCAACUCUGAAGCAGAUUUCCAUCAAGAUUGAAGACCUCCUUUUAAUUUCUUUGAAGUUUUUAUGAGUUUUUUUAUUUAUUUCUUGUGGUUAUUAUACUGUCUUUGAGAUAUUUUUAUCUACAAUUAUGAAUUAAUUCUUUAGAUACCUAGGGGAGAUGAACCCUAUGAUGAAUUCUAUUAUUUAGUUUAUGUUUUACACGAUAAAUACUUGAAUCUUGUUUUUAAUUAUGUGUACUUAUCUCUUAUUUUAAUAUUUCAUGAAUAUUAAUUCAUGUUUAAUGUGCUUAAAUCAGAUGACGAAAAGUCCCUGUUUACGAGUAGAUCUAGUUUAAUUGAGUGGAGUUGCAUGCAAUACUAAAAAUAGGACGACAUAAAUCUACUGGAUUGGAGUCAAAUCUAAUAGGGGAAUUCAUAUAUCGAGUUAAUGCAAUAAUAGGAGUUUUAAUUAGAAAGAAAUUUCAAUUAAUCAACCUAGAGUCAAUUGCUCUUAGUCUAAAAAAGAAUUCACUUAGACUUCGUCUAUCAUUAUGAAUCUGAAUUAAAUGAUUUAUUCACUUAGUAUUUUGAUCCGUAGAAAUCCAAAUACUUAGGGAGAUGAACACUAUGAUAAAUUCUAUUAUUUGAUUUCUGUUUUACACGAUAAAUACUUGAAUCUUGUUAUUAGUUAUGUGUGUUUAUAUCUUAUUUUAAUAUUUCUGAAUAUUUUAAUAUAAAUACUAUUUCUUUUACCAACUUUAAACUUUAACUAGUUAUUUAACAAAUAAUCCAAAGACUGUUUAAGAAGACAAAAGGGAUGCAACUUAUCUGCGUUCGGAUCGGGAUGGAUUCUUUUUUAUUUUUUUAAAAAAAUUCUCCUAAACAAAUUAAAUAGAUUAAUCGAAAACCCAGAAGUUACAAAUUUCUCAUAAUUAAAAAGAGUUUACAAAAAGAAAAGUAAAGAACACUUACUUUUGUUGAUGUAUGGUAUAAUAAGUCUGCAAAGCACUAAGAAAAAGUGAAGCAAUGGCACCCACAAAUGCCAAAAACGUCCAACGAACUCUAAAAUAAGUAUCAUAUGCUUGAGCUGCAUGAUUAAUCCACAUUUUCUUACAAUGAUUAUGUAUUUGCCGUUUAACCUCACUGUAAGUCAUCACACUAGGAACCAAAAUAGUGUUCAUCUUAUUGAAAAGCUUAGCCACUUCUCCAUCAGUCCCCAAUUCAUUGUGCAGUAUGCCGGCGUCGCUCAGUUCUCUAACAUCUUCGGCUCCAUCGAUCAAUGAAUCAAGGAAACACAUAUAUGAAGUGACGGUGAAAUCGUUGUUGAAAUCCGGACACAUUUCUUAAGCUAUUAAGUUCAUGGUUGGAUCAUCAAGGGUGAUCCGCGGUAACCGUAAUUUCCCGACAAAGAAGAUUUGUUUGAAACUGAUGUCGGUUAAACAACUUGUUUCGCUUGCUUUUAACCAUAUCCAGGCCUUUUUAAGCUCUUUUACGUUACAAAUGGUGUGUGAAUGGUGCCGUUUGCUUCUUGCUUCAGAGGAAAAACAAAAAUUCCACCACAUGGUUUAGGGUUUAAGCUCUUGAAUGAUUUUUCUUUUCUGAAAAGGAGUCUUUCUCGUAGUAGAUGCAAUAAGUGAAUUCGCUCUCCUUUUUGCUGCUCCCACCACCAUUCACAUGAAACAGUCCAUCUUGCGCAACACGAGACUGCCGAUUUUCAUACUCAAGAAGCACAUCAAUAAGCCGAGGCAGAGGAAGAGGUUCCGCCGAGAAGGAAGCCAGAGUGAGGACGUCACCGUACUCCGGAGGGAGAUCGACAAGGAUAAUUUCAACGCGAUCGACCUCCGAGACCCGAGAUCCAGAAGGCUCAAUCAGUGCAGAGGUAUUGUUAAUUUUUGCGAUAUAUUCCUUCAUUGUCAUGGCCCCCUUCUUGAUCGAGUGGAGCUCACGUCAAAUACGCGACAAUUUGGCGCCGGUGGCGGCGGCGAACAAGCGAGUCGCGGUAGUCCAUACAUCACACGCGGAUCUGGCAUUCGUGAAGUAGGAAAGGAGAGGACUACUAACAGUAGAAAGUAACCAUGACGCAAGAAGCUUAUCUUGCUGGUGAAACAACGAAGCCUCUGGAUUCGGAACCGGAGGACCCUCCUGAGAUUGGAUGAACCUCGGCGGAGCAGGUAAAGUACCAUCAAGAAAACCAGUUAAUUCAUAGCCUUCAACAAUUAAACUUAUGUGAUGCUGCCAUUGCACAAAAUUAGACUCGUCUAAUUUGACAGCAUCAUGCCUAGGAAAGCUUUGUAUUAAACGAGAAUUUGCAGGUUGGAAAUUGGACGGAUUACCAGUGUUAGUAGAAACAGAGUCGUUUGACGUAGCCAUGAAGUCGAGCAGCACAAGCAGGUCACCAGAUCGUAGGCGACUGAUACCAUGUAAGCAUAUGUACUUUCUUGAAUGAAACAGAAAAUUACUACAGAGUAAUCUGAAACUUUUAGCUAUUAUCUUGUAUUCUUUGCUCAAAUAGUGCAAGUGUAUUUAUACAGACUUUUGGAGGGUAACUACUGAACUGCUACUAACAACUUUUUAACAGAAAGUUUAACAACUUAACCACCUAACAGAUUGCAUUUACCUAUGCUCUAACAUUGUGUAAUGCGAAAUCAUGCUUCAAUUGUAAUUAUUACUUGAUAACGGUACAAGAUUUUCAUUACAAUGCAUAGAAUUACUUAUAAUUCCCAACCAUUAAAUAAGAGGAUAAAGGCACUUUAGCAAGCUCGAAUCUACAUCUUUUUGUAUUGACAACAAUACUAUAUCAAUUGAACUAAAACUCAGUAUAAUAAUGGUUAAUUGAAUUUUAAGUACACAUAUUACUCUUAUGAUGUAAGUAUUUAGGAUAAAUCACCCUCCAUGGUCAAACAAAUGGACCCAAGCUAUAAAUUGUAUAUAAAAAAAAAUUAAAAAGCAUUAGUAAAAUGUAUAUAAAAUUUAUUAACUUUCAAUAUUUAUAAUAAAUUAAACACAAAUAUAAUAUACAAAGCCUUGAUGCCUUGAAUCCUUUAGGGUUCUUCAACUAGCCUUUAAUUUUUGUGGUUGGAUGAUCCUUGGCUGCCACAAAUUGAAGACAAAAAAAAUAUAAAAGCAUUUCAAAACAAAUACACACAACAAAACACUUCAGCACGUAAGAAAUUUAUAUUAUAAAGGUUUUGGUUUUUGGAUUGUAUCAUUAACAAUAAAAUUAUUUUAGGUAAAAGAUGGUUUCGGGGUUAAUGUUAAACGAGUUUGAAUUGUUAACUUUUUAUGGUCAAAUUGGAUUGAUUAGUUAAAAUUUUUAGCUCAUGCAUUUAGUUGAAAAUAUUUAAAUAAUAAAAAAAAAUCAAUAAAUCGACCGGUUCAACCUAAGGACAAAAUGUAAGAUGAGAGCCUUCAAAAUUUUAGAAAAUUAUCAUUAAAUCUUUCAAAAUUUUGACAUUUUUACUUAGAAAUCUUAAUUUUUAGAAAAUCCUAAUUAAGCCUUGUUGAAAAUUUUAAAAGUUAACCAUUAAUUUUAUUAUAAAUUUUGAUUAAAGCUCUUAAAUUUUAUUUUUAAAAGAAAAUUUUCAUUAAAACACCAAAAAUUAAAUAGAUUGAAUUGAAAAUCCAAGAGUUCCAAAAUUAUCAUAAAUAACAAGAGUUUACAAAAAGACUAGUAAAGAACACUUACUUUUGUUGAUGCAUGGCAUAAUAAGUCUGCAAAGCACUAAGAGUAAGUGCAGCAAUGGCACCCAAAACUGCCAAAAACGUCCAAGGACUCCUAAAAUAAGUAUGAUAACCUUGAGCUGCAUGAUUAAUCCACAUAUUCUUACAAUGAUUAUGUAUUUUCUCUUUAACCCCACUGUAAAUCGUCGGACUAGGAACCAAAUCAGUGUUCAUCUUAUUGAAAAGUUUAGCCACCACUUCAUCACUCCCCAAUCUAUUGUAUAGUAUGCCGGCGUCUCUCAGGUCUUUAACAUCUUCGGCUUCAUCGAUCAAUAAAUCAAGGAAACACAUAUAAGAAGUGACGGUGAAAUUGUUGUCGAAAUCCGGACACAUUUCGUAAGCUAUUAAGUUUAUGGUUGAAUCAUCAACGGUGAUCGGCGGUAACCGUAAUUUUCCGAAGAAGAAGAUAUGGUUGAAACUGAUGUCGGUUAAACAACUUGUUUCGCUUGCUUUUAACAUUAUGCCGGCCUUUUUAAGCUCUUUUACGGUACCAAUGGUGCGUGAAUGGUACCGUUUUGUUCUUGCUUUGUUGAUAAAUCUGCUUUCAAUGAAACGCCACCACCAUGGUUUUUCUCGUAGUCGAUGCAAAAAGUAAAAUCGUACUUUUCUGAAAAGGAGUCUUUCUCGUAGUAGAUGCAAUAAGUGAAUUCGCUCUCCUUUUUGCCGCUCCCACCACCAUUCACUACACCAAAAUCUGUGUUAGUCGGGAGCCAACCUAUAAUUUCCUUUUUUUUUUUUUGUUGUUGUUGGAUUUGGAAUUGUUAAUUUUUAUGAAGCUAAAAUUAAGAUUUUCAAAAUAGAUAAUCUAACGAUUAAAUUAUUGAUUUAUAAAUCUCAAUUUAUUUGAUUUAAUUAAAUAAAUUAUUAAAAAUUUCGAUUUAAUAACGUGGUUUAAUUAAAAUAUUUUACCCUAUUCAUAUAGAUUUUUAAGUUAGUUGGUCUAACAAUUUUCUCCAAAUAUCAACUCAAUUAAUUUUCAAACCAAAUCGAUUCAACCAAUAUCAGCUAAAAUACAAUUUUUAUUUUUGUAUUAAUGCAAAAAUCUUACCAUUUUUAAGAUAUUAAACUUUUCCAUUUUGAAAAGUUGGAUUUGAAAUCAUAAUUUUUCAUUUCUAAAAACUGUACACUCAACAGGAUCAAUGCAAACAGACAGGCAGGGGUCGUUCCCAAGAAAUGAAAAUUUACAUUUUAAUCUUUUUAAAAAUUAUUAAAUUAUAAUAAGCCCUUAAAUUAAAAAAUAAUUAUUCAAUUUUAAAAAAAAAAGAUAAAAUUAUAAAUUAAUACAUGAAAAUAUUAAAGGAUCAGACUAUACUUGUUAAUUAGGUUGGUUGAAUAAAAAAUCGAAUAAAAUUAGAGUUAGACCAAUUGAAUCAAAGAAUCGAAUCAAUUUCUUUUAUAUUUUAAUAUUUUCAAAAAAUUAUAUAAUUAAUAACCAAAAAUGAGAGUCUAAUAGAUUCCAUCACCCAUCUAGUUAUAAAAACCAUUUAACAUUUAUAAACUCCACAAAAAUGAUUCUUUAUUUAUUUCCCUAAAUUACCUGUCCCCGCCUGGGUUGAUAACAGUGUCGUCGAUGAACCUUUUGAUUGCAUUCAUGAACUUUUCGCCAUUUUUGCUCGAGCUUGUAAGCAAUUCCAGAACACGAAAAGGUAUUUGGUUUUCCAACAAGAACAGAUCCGAGUACACAAAUCUCAGCAAAUCGUUUUUAAUAAACAGUUUACCAUCAUCAUCAUCAUUAUCGUAACGCAUGUAAACUGCUUGUAAAAUUGCGCAGCCGUCAACGAAGAACAUCCAAGCCAGUUCCUUGUUAUCGUCGCUAUAUUUCUCUAAUUCCUGUGGAUCAUAGCAUUUCCUCAAGCCAUCCAUCUCUUUCUUAAUGUUGCUGUACAAGGAUUCCCCAUCGACACCAACUUUUUUGACGAAAUGUGCUGCUAAUUUGAGCUUGAGCUCCUUGGAUUCAAUGAGGGUGAGAUCAUCGUGGUGGAGUGGGCCGAUUGAGAUCACUUUCGGCCAGAAAUACUUCUUGAAAUCUUCGUUACGUCGGAGGGCUGAUGGGACUUUUCGUAUUAAUGGUUUGGCAGUGAAGUUGGGUUGGCCGGCGUAGAAAGCUUCGUAUAAUGACCGGAGAUUCGCUACUUCGCCAUCGCUGAGAGGGACGUCCGUGAACAGCAUAUCAAUUCUCACGUAAUCGUUGUUGGUGUUGUUGUCGAUGAUUGUUUGAUCAGUGGAAACUGCUCCGACGGCGCCACCACCUUCCUCCGUGGACGACAUUUUCAGGCUGACCGGCUCGAAGUAAUUAACAAGGUGAUUUUGAAAACUAGUUUUGGCUGAUUGAGUGAUGUUGGAAAAAAGGUGGCAAAAUGGCUACGAUGAUGACAAAUGUUUCUAUAGCUUACAUACAGAGGCGAAUCUAGGGAAAUGUAAAAUUGUUAUUUAGGACCUUAAAUAUUUUUAAAAAUUUUAAAUUAAUAAAGGUAAAAUUACACAUUGACCUCAUAAAAUUAUAAAAAUUUAAUUUAAUCCUUUAAAAAUUAUAAAGAUAUAGACUACAAAAAAUUAAAAUUUCAUUCGAUCCACCCUAAAAAAUUAUUCGGGCUUCGCCACUGCUUACAUAAUAAACAUAUGGAAAAUACUUUUGGUGUAAUUCAAAUUUACCCCUUAUAGUCAAUUUAAUUUUCAUUUUUUUAAUUUAAUUUUCUAUCUUUUGGAAGAGUCGAAUUUAACUAUCAAUUUAAAUUAAUAUUUUUUAACGAAAAUAGUGACUAAAAUAUUAAAAUAUUAAACAUGACAACUCAAACGACAAUCCACAUCUAUAUGUUUUUUUAUUUAUUUCUUAUUUUUAAAUUAUUUAUUGACGUGACAUAUAAUAAAAGUAUUAUUAUAUUAGCAUGAAGUACACAUGGAUAGCCACACGAGUUGUGACACCAAUAUCGUUAAAAAAUUAAUAUUUUAGUUAGCAUAUUUGUUAAAGAAAAGCAAAUUCACUCUUUUUUCAAAUGUUAAUGGCUAAAUUUAGCUCAAAUGAAAAAAAAAUAAAGGCCAAUUUGAUAAAAAAAGGUAAAUGUCAAGAGUUAAGUUUAACAUUUAUACAAGUACAAAUAUAUGUCUGGAUUAAUCUAGAAAGAACAAGACAAACUCUACAGGUGAUAUACAAAUGUGAUGAGAGUGAAACCUGCACAUCACAAUUGAGAAUAAUAUUAUAGAACCUAAAUACUCAAAAACCUAAAACCUUCCCCUUAACCAAGAAGCUAAGACACUAUGGAUAAUUUUAUAUCUACAACACUUCAUGAAUUUCAUAUGCUUAAUAAAAGUUUACAAAAAGACUAGUAAAGAACACUUACUUUGGUUGAUGUAUGGUAUAAUAAGUCUGCAAAGCACUAAGAGUAAGUGCAGCAAUGGCACCCAAAAAUGCCAAAAACGUCCAAGGACUCCUAAAAUAAGUAUGAUAACCUUGAGCUGCAUGAUUAAUCCACAUAUUUUUACAAUGAUUAUGUAUUUUCUCUUUAACCCCACUGUAAAUCGUCGGACUAGGAACCAAAUCAGUGUUCAUCUUAUUGAAAAGCUUAGCCAUUUCUUCAUCACUUCCCAAUCCAUUGUAUAGGAUGCCGGAGUCUCUAAGGUCUUUGACAUCUUCAGCUUCAUCGAUCAAUAAAUCAAGGAAACACAUAUAUGAAGUGACGGUGAAAUCGUUGUCGAAAUCCGGACACAUUUCGUAAGCUAUUAAGUUCAUGGUUGCAUCAUCGACGGAGAUCGGCGGUAACCGUAAUUUUUCGAAGAAGAAGAUAUGGUUGAAACUGAUGUCGGUUAAAUUACUUGUUUCGCUGGCUUCUAACCAUAUCCCGGCCUUUUUAAGCUCUUUUACGUUACCAAUGGUGCGUGAAUGGUACCGUUUUGUUGUUUUUGUUCUUGCUGCUGAUUUGCCAAAUCCGUGUCGAGUGAAUUCCCAAAGAAAACACCAGCACCGUAUUCGUACUUUUCUGAGAAGGAGUCUUUCUCGUAGUAGAUGCAAUUGUUAAAUAUUGGCAAUAUCCCACAUUAGGAAAAGAUAGAAAGGGAGGGGGUUUGGUUUGUUAUAUAUAGAACCCCUCCCCCUUUGGUUGUAUCAUCCCAAAAUCUUCUCCUUUGUAAUAUUUCUAGAAGAAAUAUUAAUUUGGUAGUGUCCGAGGACGUAAGCUAAAUUGGCCGAACCUCGUUAAAUCUCUGGUAUUUUAUUUCUUAUUUGUUUGCUUAUAUUUAAUAGCUUUAUGUUGGUUAUAUUUAUUUAGUUAUUAUUGCUAUAAAUAUCUAAGUGAGUUCUGUCUAGUUGUUGGGUUUUAAGCGGGACCAUUUGUGACCCCUCCAAUUUAACUGGGAAUUUUCUUAGUAUAAUUGUUGGCAUAAUAAUUAUCUAAAUAUUUCUGAUAAUAUUGUUAUUAAUAUUAUCGUCGCUUCCGCAACAAUUGGUAUCAGAGCCAAGGUUUUGUAGUAUGCUCUGUGUUUGCAGCUUAGUCUGAUCUUACACAUCAGAAACAUUUCCUAAAGCUUGUGGGUAUUCUGCAUUUGGUGGCUAUUAAGUAGAAGCUAUGGCAAAAAUGACAGAAGAAAAACCAUCCAUAUCAACAACUUCCACUUCGUACAUUAUGCCGAGGAUUGGAACUGCAAAUACGAGAUUUGUAGUGGAAAUUUUUGAUGGAACAGGUCAUUUUGGCAUGUGGCAAAGUGAGCUUCUAGAUGCCCUCUUUCAACAGGGUCUAGAUAUUGCCAUUGAGGAAGAAAAACCAGAAGGGGUUGAUGAUAAAGAAUGGAAGACCAUCAACCGAUUGGCAUGUGGUACAAUUCGAUCAUGUCUUUCCAGAGAGCAGAAGUAUACAUUCAGUAAAGAGACUUCUGCAAGUAAAUUGUGGAAAGCAUUGGAGGAGAAAUUCUUGAAGAAGAACAGUCAAAAUAAGUUGCAUAUGAAGAAAAGACUGUUUCGUUUCAAUUAUGUUCCUGGUACCACGAUGAACGAGCACAUUACCAAUUUUAAUCAGCUGGUGGCUGAUUUGUUGAAUUUGGAUGUGACUUUUGAAGACGAAGACUUGGCGUUAAUGUUGUUGGGAUCGCUUCCUGAGGAGUUUGAGUACCUUGAAACUACUCUACUUCAUGGAAAAUCGGAAGUAACUUUCAAUGAAGUAACUGCUGCAUUGUAUAGCUAUGAAUUACGCCGAAAGGAUAAGUUGAAAGGUUCAGGUGAAGCAGCAGUGGAAGCAUUGGUAACAAGAGGUCGUCAGCAAAGUCAGUCUAAUGGGAAGAGAAGAAAGUCCAAAGGUCGAGCUGUUGCCAAAGAUGAAUGUUCCUUUUGCAAAGAAAAAGGACAUUGGAAGAAAGAUUGUCCAAAAUUGAAGAAAAAAGGGAAGACUCCGCAAGAUGCAAAUGUUGCAGAAUGCAAUAGUGAAGCAGAGUCAGACUUUUCUCUUAGUAUGACAUCUUCAACAUUAUAUGCAGAUGAGUGGAUCAUGGAUUCUGGUUGUUCCUAUCAUAUGUGUCCCAUUCGGGAAUGGUUCUUUGAAUUUCAAAAACUAGAUGAAGGGGUUGUUUACAUGGGUAAUGAUAACACAUGUAAAAUAGCCGGGAUAGGUUCAAUUAAACUGAGGAGUCAUGAUGGAUCUACUAGAAUUUUGCGGGAUGUACGAUAUGUCCCAAAGUUGAAGAAGAAUCUCAUCUCUUUGGGGUCGUUAGAAUCUAAAGGCCUAGUUGUGACAAUACGAGAUGGAGUUCUUAAAGCAACUUCAGGAGAAUUGGUGAUGUUGAAAGGCAUAAGAAAGAACAAUCUGUAUUACUACCAAGGUAGUACAGUGGUCGGGACAACAGCAGCAGCAAUUUCGAGUACCAAGAAGGACGCUGAGGCAACACAGCUGUGGCAUAUGCGUUUGGGCCAUGCUGGUGAAAAAUCCUUGCAAACUCUAGCCAAGCAAGGAUUAUUGAAAGGUACAAAGACUUGCAAACUUGAAUUUUGCGAGCAUUGUGUUCUGGGAAAACAACGAAGGGUGAAAUUUGGCACUGGGAUUCACAAUACUAAAGGUAUUCUGGAUUAUGUGCAUUCUGAUGUAUGGGGACCGUCCAAGUCUCCAUCACUUGGAGGAAGACGUUAUUUUGUCACCUUUAUUGAUGAUUUUUCCAGACGAGUUUGGGUGUUUCCUAUGAAGAACAAAGAUGAGGUGCUUGAAGUUUUCCUUAAGUGGAAAACUAAAGUUGAAAAUCAGACAGGAAGGAAGAUUAAGGUUCUCCGAUCAGACAACGGUGGAGAAUAUAAAAGCGAUCCAUUCAUGAAGAUAUGCCAAGAUUGUGGCAUAGUAAGGCACUUCACCGUAGGUGGAACACCGCAACAGAAUGGGGUGGCAGAGCGUAUGAAUCGAACGCUUGUGGAGAAAGUUCGAUGUAUGUUAUCUAAUGCUGGAUUAGAUAGAAAGUUUUGGACUGAGGCUGUGACGUACGCUCAACAUCUCAUCAAUCAUUUGCCAUCAUCUGCUAUAAAUGGCAAGACUCCUUUAGAGAAAUGGUAUGGAAAACCUGCUACUGAUUAUGACACCUUGCGCAUUUUUGGUUCUAUUGCAUAUUAUCAUGUGAAAGAAUCAAAGUUAGAUCCAAGAGCAAAGAAGGCUCUAUUCAUGGGCUUCAAUGCUGGUGUUAAGGGAUAUCGUUUGUGGUGUCUAGAGGCAAAGAAGACGAUAAUCAGUAGGGAUGUUACCUUUCAUGAAUCUGCCAUGUUGAAUAAGGUAAAUCCAGAAGGAGUGAGUAGUACUUCGCAGCAGGUGGAGUGUACUCCGCAGCAGGUGGAGUUUGAGCAGAGUGUGGUAAUUCCAGCAGAAGGUACCACUAGUGAUUCUUCAUUGGCAGAUGCAGAGUCAGAUGAGGAAGAGGUUUCUACCCAAGAACCUCAACAGCAAUCAGAGCCAAUUGCAGUCAGAAGGCAGAGACGAGAAAUUCAGAAACCAGCUCGUUUCACUGACAUGGUAGCUUAUGCACUUCCAGUUGUUGAUAAUAUUCCAUCCACUUACACCGAAGCCAUUCAGAGUUUAGAGAAUAAUAGAUGGUUAGGUGCAAUGGAAGAGGAAAUGCAAUCUCUAGAGAAAAACAAGACGUGGAAGCUGGCACAACUACCAAAAGGGAAGAAGGCGAUUGGUUGCAAAUUUGAAGACACUAUUGAAGUUAGUGUUAUGAGAAGAUGUUCGAAGAUGUGGAAUAUCGCCAAGGUGGAGAUUUGUUAAAUAUUGGCAAUAUCCCACAUUAGGAAAAGAUAGAAAGGGAGGGGGUUUGGUUUGUUAUAUAUAGAACCCCUCCCCCUUUGGUUGUAUCAUCCCAAAAUCUUCUCCUUUGUAAUAUUUCUAGAAGAAAUAUUAAUUUGGUAGUGUCCGAGGACGUAAGCUAAAUUGGCCGAACCUCGUUAAAUCUCUGGUAUUUUAUUUCUUAUUUGUUUGCUUAUAUUUAAUAGCUUUAUGUUGGUUAUAUUUAUUUAGUUAUUAUUGCUAUAAAUAUCUAAGUGAGUUCUGUCUAGUUGUUGGGUUUUAAGCGGGACCAUUUGUGACCCCUCCAAUUUAACUGGGAAUUUUCUUAGUAUAAUUGUUGGCAUAAUAAUUAUCUAAAUAUUUCUGAUAAUAUUGUUAUUAAUAUUAUCGUCGCUUCCGCAACAGCAAUAAGUGAAUUCGCUCUCCUUCUUUUUGCUGCUUCCACCACCAUUCCCUACACCAAAAUCUGUGUUAAUCGGAAGCCAAGCUACAAUUUCUCUUUUCUCUUUUCUCUUUUCUUUUUUUCUUUUUUGUUGUUGGAUUUGGAAUUGUUAAUUUAUAUGAAGCUAAAAUUAAGAUUUUCAAAAUAAAUAAUCCAACGAUUAAGUUAUUCAAUUUACUUAAUUUAAUUGAAUAAAUUAUUAAAAAUUUCGAUUCGAUAGCACGGUUUAAUUAAUUUUUUUACCCUGUUUAUAUAAAGUUUUAAAUCGGUUAAUCUACUCCGAAUUGAUAAUUCAAUUAAUUUUCAAUCCAAACCAAUUCAAACAAUAUUAACUAAAAUACAAUUUUUAUUGUUGUAUUAAUGCAAAAAUCUUACCAGUUUUAAAACAUUAAACUUUUCCAUUCUGAAAAGUUGGAUUUGAAAUCAUAAUUUUUAAUUUCUAAAAAUGAACACUCAAGGAUAAAUGUAAAACGACAGGCAGGGGUCGUUCCCAAGAAAUGAAAAUUUACACUUUAAUCUCUUUUAAAUUUAUUAAAUUAUAAUAAGUCCUCAAAUUAAAAUAUAAUAAUUGUUCAAUUUUUUUAAAAAAAUAAAAUCAUAAAUUAAUACAAAAAAAUUAAAAAUCAAACAGGUUGAAUAAAAAAUUAAAUAAAAUUGAAGUUACACCAAUUGAAUUAAAGAAUGGAAUAAAUUUCUUUUUAUAUUUUUAAUAUUUUUAAAAAAUUAUAUAAUUAAAUUGAAUAAACUAAUCAACCAGAAAUGAGAGUUUAAUAGAUUCCAUCACUCAUCUAGUUAUAAAAACCUUUUAACAUUUAUUUAAUUCCCUAAAUUACCUGUCCUCGCCUGGGAUGAUAACAGUUUCGUCGAUGAACCUUUGGAUUGCAUUCAUGAACUUUUCGCCAUUUUUUCUCGGCCUUGUAAGCAAUUCAAGAACACGAAAAGGUAAUUGGUUUUCCAACAAGAACAGAUCUGAGUACACAAAUGUCAGCAAAUCGUCUUUAAUAAACAAUUUACCAUCAUUAUCAUCACCAUUAUCAUCAUCACCGUAACGCCUGUAAACUGCUUGUAAAAUUGCGCAGCCGUCAACGAAGAACAUCCAAGCCAGUUUCUCGUUAUCGUUGCUAUACUUCUCUAAUCCCUUUGGAUCAUAGCAUUUCUUUAAGUCAUCAAUCUCUUUCUUCAUGUUGUUGUACAACGUAUCCUUAUCGACGCCAAUUUUUUUGACGAAAAGUGCUGCUAAUUUGAGCUUGAGCUUCUCGGAUUUCCGGAGGGUGGGAUCAUCGUGGUGGAGUGGGCCGAUUGAGAUCACUUUCGGCUUGAAAUACUUCCUGAAAUCUUGGUGACGACCAAGGGUUGAUGGGACUCUUUGUAUCAAUGGUUUGGCACCGAGGUUGAUUUCGUCGCCGUCGAAAGCUUCGUCUAAUGACCGGAGAUUCGCUACUUCUCCAUCUCUAAGAGGGACGUCCAUAUCAAUGCUCACGGAAUCGUUGUUGUCGGUGAUUGCUUGAUCAGUGGAAACUGCUCCGACGGCGCCGCCUCCUUCCUCCGUGGAGAACAUUUUCAGGCUGAGCGGUUGGAAGUAAUAAAGAAGGUGAUUUUGUAAACUGCUUUUGGGUGAGUGAGUGAUGUUGGAGAAAAGGUGGCAAAGUGGAUACGAUGAUGGGAAAUAUUUUAUAGCUUACACGAUACACAUAUAUAUAUGGGAAAUACUUACACCGUGUUUGGUUUAGUGUAAUAGCUAAUCCAUUACGCCCCGAUUACGUGCCUAUUACAUUACUGAUCUAUUCCGGCGUUUGGUUCGCUGUAAUAGGUAUUACGCGCCUAUUACAAUACCGACCUAAGCCCCAAAUUCUCUGCUUUUCUAUUCCCUUCCCAAAUCCCAGAUUACCUAUUACGUCCGGCUUCCCUUCCCAAGUCUCUGUUUUACCCUCCCUCCCUACCCGAAAUCGACCUCCACCCUCUCCUUUUUCUGUCCUCAUCAUUUCUCCUCCCAUUUCACACUGCUUCAUUUUUUUCUCUCGGAGCACGUUUGGUUUUUGAAUAUUGAGGUAUGAAUCAACGUUUGGUUAAAAUGUUUAUGAUUUACUUGUUUAAAGUUUUCUAGAUCUUUUUCUAUAUCUAUAGUUUCUGCUAGUUCUAUUUCUUUGUUUUUCUUUUUGGUGCUAAAUACUCGCUCGAAUUAUUUUUUGAUUUGGAAUUAGGGUGUUUUCCGAUUAUAAUCUUACUAUUCUGAAAUCUUACUAAUGCUAUAUCGGUUACCCACAAUUUGUUCGUAACGAAAAACAUGGUUGGUAUUUUUUCCAGAUUUUCUGUUGGCAGGUCUGCCCAUCGACGCUCCAAGAGUGCCUUUGUAAGUUUCUAUAGCUUACAUAAAGAGGCGAAUAUAAGGGAAUGUAAAAUUGUUAUUUAGGCCCUUAACUUUAUUAAAAUUUCAAAUUAGUAAAGGUAAAAUUAUACUUUGGCCUCAUAAAAUUAUAAAAAUUCAAUUUAAUCUUUUAAAAAUUAUAAAGAUAUAGACUACAAAAAAUUAAAAUUUCAUUCUAUCCACCCUAAAAAAUUAUUCGGGCUUUGCUGCUACUUACAUAAUAAACAUAUGGAAAAUACUUUUGGUGUAAUUCAAAUUUACCCCUUAUAGUCAAUUUAAUUUUCAUUUUUUUUAAUUUAAUUUUCUAUCUUUUGGAAGAGUCGAACUUAACUAUCAAUUUAAAUUUAUGUUUUUUUAACGAAAAUAGUGACUAAAAUAUUAAAAUGUUAAACAUGACAACUCAAACGGCAAUCCACAUCUAUAUUUUUAUAUUCAUUUCUUAUUUUUUAAAUUAUUUAUUGACGUGACAUAUAAUAAAAGUAUUGUUAUGUUAGCAUGAAGUACACAUGAAUUGCCACACUAGUUGUGACACCAAUAUCGUUAAAAAAUUAAUAUUUCAGUUAGCAUAUUUGUUAAAGAAAAGUAAAUUGGUUCUUUUUUGAAAGGUUAAUGGUUAAAUUUAGCUCAAAUGAAAAAAAAUAAAGGCCAAUUUGAUAAAAAAAGGUAAAUGUCAAAAGUUAAGUUUAUCAUUUAUACAAGUAUAAAUAUAUGUCUGGAUUAAUCUAGAAAGAACCAGACAAACUCUACACGUGAUAUUCAAAUGUGACGAGAGGGAAAUCUACACAUCACAAUUGAGAAUAAUAUUAUAGAAAUACUCAAAAACCUAAAACCUUCCCCUUAACCAAGAAGCUAAGACGCUAUGGAUAAUUUUAUAUCUACAACACUUCAUGAAUUUCAUAUGCUUAAUAAGAGUUCUUUAAAUAUAUUCGAUUUUUAUUUUAUUAUUUAUAUUAUUUUGACUCAGUAUUUAAAUUAUCAUUAUGUUACAUGAUUUAUUUCAAAUAUUUUAUAUAUUUUUAUAACGAAAUUUGAAUUAAAAAAAUAUCAAUUUUAUUAUUAAAUUAUAAUUUGAUAUAUUUUGAGAUAAUGCAAUUUUAAGUAUUUCAAUUUAUUUAAUCAUUAUUUUUAAACUCGUUUUUUGUUUUGUUAGUAUUGCAUAAUUUUAACGUGUAUAUAUAUAUAUAUAUUUAAAGUUCUACUUAUUUUUAAGUUAUGUCAAAUAAUUGACAACUUUAUUAAAGUAUGCAUUUGAAUUUAUAAAUUUUUUUAGGUUGAAAUUAAAUUGUAUACUUUUACGAUAGUAAAAAUAUAAUUUUAUCAUUUUAAUUGCCUAUAUCGUUAUAAAUUUUAAAAUAUUAAAUCAAAUUUAUAUCAUUUUUGGAGGGUAAAGUAUAAUUUUAUCAUUACUAAUUUAAAAUUUUAUAAAUUAUAAAGGGGUCUAAAUAAUUUUUUUUUCAUUUUAAAGGAGACCAAGACUCUACAACCCUUGAAUUCGCCUCUAUCCAUAUAUUAUAUUUUAUUAAUCGAUUAUACAUGUAAACAUAUUUGUUUUUACUAAUACAUUUUAUUAAUCAAAUGGCUUUUUUUUUUUUACUGUUAAGUUAUCUUUUUUUAACUCCAUACAACAAAAUUUAUUUGCUCACAGUUUAACAUAUUUUUUUAUUAUUUCAGCAAUAAUAUUUUAUACUUAUCUAUAUAUCAAAUAUCAUGAUUCUCUAACAUUAUUAAGAUUAAAUAAAUAAAAUAUGUAUAUAUAUAAAUAAUGUUUUUUUACAAAAUUUUAAUUGUUUAAUCUCAAUAAUUUUCUUUUGCAACAUUAAAUCAUAUAAUACAUUUAGAAUAUUAAAAAUGUAUCAGAUUUUUAUUAAUAUAUACAUACAAUAAAUUUGUGUAUAGCAUGAGUAAACAAAUUAAUUAUUAAACUAUAAUUUGGCUCAAACUAAGUUAACCUUAACUUAAAAUUAGGUUAAAGUACUUGGGAUUUGGGACUUGGGAGGUUGGACUGGAUUAAAUUAGUCCUUCUGUUAUUAAAUGGAUCGAUUUAGUCCUUAUAUUAUUAAAAAGAAUCAAAUAAGUUCAAACUGAAAUAGAGUUAACAUUUACUGUAUAAAAAAUGUCUCGGCAAUUGCAAUUCAAUUCCAAACAGAAUGGUUCAUGUAUAUAACCAUAAGAACUUUUUAAAUAUUCACUUGUUAGACAAUAAUAGUAUAGGACUAAAUUGAUCCAUAUAUAUAUUAUUAAUAGAAAUGAGAAUUGUGCUUGGCCAAGUUUCUAAGUUUGGUAUUUGUUCUUACUUUCCUUCUUCAACCGUAGGAGCCACUCUCAUGACUUUUAUUUACUUUGCCAAGUUACUAAGUCAUGACUUUAGUAAAAGAUUUAGUUCCAUUUGUCGCUCCAACAUAACUUUUUUUUAACGAAGAUUCCAGUUAUAUCGAUAGGUAUACAUUGUUUCAAUAAUAAUUCGAAACAAUCAAUUUUAUUUUUUGCACAACGGUGGCGGGAGGUGGCAAGCAGGGGUAAAUGUAUAAGAUUAUAAAUUUCAAAGGUAAGAUUGUAAUUUGGCCCCAAAAAAUCAUAAGGCUUUAAUUUAGUUCUUUAAAAAAUUAUAAUGGUAUUAGCUAAUACAAUGAUGAAACUGUGUUUUAACCCUUAUCGAAAUUUAUAAUUUAAUUUCGGUCCCUCAAAUAAAAUUUUUGACUUCGUCCUUAUUUCCGCACUAGUAAAAAUUCUAAUCUAUAUCAUCUGCAACGGCCAAUACUAUAACAGUCUGAUUUUCAAUGGUAUCGGAAAAGAUGGUUUUGAAACCCCAUUUUCAUUGUCUGAGUCCAUAAAUAUUAAUAUUUAAUAUUUACAAGGCUAGUAUAAAAGUUUAUUGCAGUUUGGUCCAGCAAUUUUGUCUAAUUGAUAGUUAAAUAAGGUACAUGAACUAAAUUAUAAAAGUCCAAUCAAUAUAGGUUUUUAAUUAGCAAAGGACCAAAAGGGCUAUUAAACCAUCUUUUAUUAUAUGAUAGUGGAUAUAAACAAAUAUUAAAUUUAGUUAAUUAAACUUGAUUAUGAUUAAUUAAUCCAGUUUAAUUAAAUUCUAAUUAGACAAUAUAUACAAAUUAAGUGGAAAAAAUGAAAACAUUUUUCAUCUUCAUCAUCUUUGCUGAAUUUGAGAGACAGAAAAACCUAGAAAGCUUUCAUACAUUCGGUCCUCAAUUUCUAAGGCGAUUUAAGUUUUUUUCUUGUAACUUUUAUAUAUUUGAGGUUAUGGACGCUUCAUUUAUUUAGCUCAUGUAAUAAUUUGUAAAAUUGUUAAAGUUUUUGAAAGUUGCCGUUUUUAGUUUCUUGAAUAAAUAAAUAUUAAAUUAAUAGAUUUUAAGGUUAGAUGUGAAAAAGAAUUAAAUUAUAAAAUUUAAAUUGAUAAUUUUAAGCAAAAGGAUAAAAUUGUAUAAAUUGAAAAUUUGACGCUAGUUUUUUUAUAGUUUUAGAUAAUAGAGAGUUCUAAAAGAAUGUGAUUGAAAUUGAUUUCUGAUUUAGAGAUUAAAUUAAAUAAAAUAUGAAAUUUUAAAAAUAUCAUAAAAAUAAAAUUUAACUGACUCAUGCAUGCAUAUAACAAAAACUAAAAUUUUAAGGACACACCUUCAUGCAUUUCACUUCAUUAAUAACGAAAGAAGCAUGGCUACCUAGCUUUCUGCUUCAUCCAAAAUUGUUGAACUUUGGCCUAUAAUGCAAUAGUAGAGAAGCAAUGAAGCUCAACCAGUACAACAGCAACAUUUUGUUCAUAUGCAACUAGCUUUAGUUCUUUUGUAAUUUGUAUUUAAAGUUAGUAAGAUUAGUUGAUGAUUUGAAUAAUGUCUAAUGUGAUGUAAUAGUUGAUAUGCCAACUACAUUUUGUGUGUAAUUUAAGCUUUGUUUUAGUCAAGUUAUUAGUGGGAGCAGUUGUGUAUUAGGAAACUCUCAUGUAACUUAUAUGUUUAUCUUAAUGAAAAAUGCAUAUGAAAUUAGUUUUCAAGUUUCAUUUUUGUUCAAUUCUCUUUGUAUUCGUUUCUUGCUACUUUUCUCCUUUGUUUUCUAUCAAAACAUCAACAAAUGGUAUACAGAGCCUGUCAUUUUUGAGGGACUUUAUUGUUGGUAGUUGUUUUUGUGAGAAACCUUGAAGAAAAAGAAACUGAGGUUGUUGUUUUUAUUGUUGCUGCAAAAUGAGUUUUACACCACCACCACUACCACCUCUUUUUGCUGGUGAAAACUACCACAUUUGGGUAGUAAAGAUGAAGACUUACCUGCAAGCACAUGACUUGUGGAAUGUGGUUGAGAAUGACACAGAACCAGCUCCAUUGAGGGCCAAUCCCACUAUUGUAGAAAUUAGACAACAUUGUGUAAAGUGUGCUAAGAAGCACAAAUCUAUGUCAUGCUUAAAAAAUAGUGUCUGAUGUGAUCUUCACUCGAAUAAUGGCUUGUGACACUCCAAAGUAAGCCUCAGAGAAGCUGAAGGAAGAGUUUCUCGGGCCAGACAAGACUAGGCAGUAGCAGUUGAUCAACCUUAGGAAGGACUUUAAGAACUUGAAGAUGAGAGAGUCUAAAACAAUCAAGCAGUACUCUGAUAGGAUAAUGGCCACAGUCAACAACAUCAGGCUCCUUAGAGAUGAAUUCAGUGAGAGUAGAAUUGUUAAGAAAGUCAUUACAACCCUUCUUGAAAAAUUUAAAGCAAAAAUCUCCUCAUUAGAAGACUCGAGAGAUUUAUCAACCAUCUCACUAUCUGAGUUGAUAAAUGCUCUAUAUGCAUUAGAGCAAAGAAGGGCCAAUAGGAUGGAAGAGCAUCCUGAAGGAGCUUUCCAACUAGAAACCAAGGAAAGCUCAGGUUCAAGCUAUAAAGGAAAGAAACCAUGGCUUAACAAAAGGGAGAAACCAAAGAGGGAUGCAGGGAAGAAAAUGUUCCCACCAUGUAUUCACUGCAAAAGGUCCACACACUUGGAGAGGUAUUGCUGGUACAGACCUGAUAUUCAGUGUAAGAGCUGCAAGUAGUUUGGUCACAUUGAAAAGGUUUGCAAGAACAAAGGAACGACAUAAGCUCAACAGCAAAAUCAAGCUCAAGCUGCUGAGGAUAUUCAAGCUCAAGAGGAGCAUGUUUUCACUGCAUCCUAUUUUGCAACCUCAAGAAAAUUCAGAAGAGACUAGUUAGUAAACAGUGGCUGCACUCAUCAUAUGGCAUCUGAUGAAGGGUUAUUCAGAGAUCUUAACAAAAGAUUUGUUUCCAAAGUUAAGAUUGGAAAUAGAAACCUUAUUGAGGCCAGAGGCAAAAGCAAUGUUGUGAUCAACACACAUUCAGGUAACAAAAUAAUUUCAGAUGUUCUUUUUGUACUUGACAUAGACCAAAAUCUGCUUAGUGUUGGUCAAUUAAUAUAAAAGGGUUAUUCACUCAAUUUUAAGAACAACUCCUGUGUUAUUGGAGAUUCACUUGGUGAAGAAUUAGUUACAGUUGCUAUGACUGAGAGAUGCUUUAUGUUGGAUGUGAACCAGUUUGAAAUGAAGGCCUAUACUAGUCUUGCUGAUAAAGCUAGUUUAUGGCAUAAAAGGUUAGGCCAUGUCAAUUAUAAAUCACUCAGUUUGUUGCACAAACUCAAUUUGGUUGAAGACAUGUCCAAGGUUGAAGUCAAAGACAAAGUUUGUAAAAUUUGUCAGCUUGGGAAGCAAGUGAGAUUGCCUUUUCCAGUUAACAAGGCAUGGAGAGCUCGAGACAAGCUUCAAUUGGCCCAUACUGACAUUUGUGGACCAAUGAAGACCUUUUCUUUGAAUGAUAGCAGAUACUUUGUGCUAUUCAUAAAUGAUUAUACAAGGUUCUACUGGGUAAUUUUCUAAGACAAAAGUCAAAAGUACCUGAAGUAUUCAGCAAGUUCAAAGCCUUAGCUGAGAAUUAAUGAGGCUGUAAGCUUAAGGCCUUGAGAUUCAGUAAUUUGAUGAGGAAAAUGUAUGGAACUGGAAUGUUACAGAUGCAAACUUGAGUGAGGAAGGUCAACAAGAUAAUAAUCUGUAACCAGCUGAAGAAGAAGAGCCAAUUGCUGAUGAUUUUGAUGAUGUACCUGUGAAAGACACAAGAACCAUUACUGACAUCUAUCAAAGAUGUGAUGUUGCAAUACUGGACCUACAAAUUUGAUGAGGCUGCCAGAGAAUAGUGUUGGAAAAGGGCCAUGGAAGUUGAAAUGGAGAUGAUACACAAGAACAACAUUGGGAACUGGUUGACAGACCAGACCAAAAGAGAGUUAUUGGUCUGAAGUGGGUGUUUAUGGUUAAGUACAAUAUUGAUGGGUCUCUAAACAAACACAAGGCAAGACUUGUGGUGAAGGGAUACAGCCAACAGUAUGGCAUCGAUUUCAUAGAAACAUUUGCUCCAGUUGCAAGGUUAGUUACUAUAAGGCACUUGUUUUCCUUAGCUGCUCAAAAGAAAUGGAGAGUGAAUCAAUUGGAUGUUAAGUCUGCUUUUCUGAAUGGCUUCCUUAAGGAAGAAAUCUUCAUUGAACAACCAUAUGGGUUCAAGAUUCCUCAUGAAGAGAAUAAGGUCUACAAGCUGAAAAAGGCUUUGUAUGGUUUGAAGCAAGCACUAAGGGCCUGGUAUGACAGAGUUGGUGCAUAUCUGUCUAGGCUCAGUUUUGAGAAGAGUAUCAGUGAGCCUACUCUCUAUGUGAAGAAAUCAAAAAAUGAAACCCUGUUGAUUAUGUCACUUUAUGUAGAUGAUCUACUAGUAAUUGGAAGCGAGGGGAAGCUGAUUGAAGAGUUUAAAAUAUAGAUGCAAGAUGUCUUUGAAAUGAGUGACUUGGGGGAAAUGACUUACUUUCUUGGCAUGAAAGUGAAUCAGUUUGAUCAUGCCAUCUUCAUAAGUUAGCAAGCUUUUGCCAUAAAUAUUUUAAACAAAUUUUGCAUGUCAAAAUACAAAAUUUUUAGCACACCAGUGGCUCAAGGUGAAAAAGUAACCAACCUUGGCAACCAUGAAAGAGUUGAUGAGAAGGUGUAUAGAAGCCUUGUAGGUUGUCUACUCUACUUGACAGCUACAAGGCUUGAUAUCAUGUUUGUUGUUAGCCUUCUGUCCAGAUUCAUCCAUUGUCGCAAUGUUGUUCAUUUUAAGGCAGCCAAAAGAGUUCUUAGAUAUGUGAAAGGGACUUUGGAUUAUUGAGUGAAAUUUGGGAAGACAAACGAACUCAAGUUGAUAGGGUAUUCUGAUAGUGAUUGGGCAGGUCCAUUGAUGACAUGAAGAGCACAUCUGACUAUUUCUUCACUCUUGGCUAAGGUGUUUUUUGUUGGAGUUCAAAGAAACAACAAAUAGUUGCUUAAUCAAUAGCAGAAGCAGAGUGCAUUGCAGCUGCUGUAGCUGUUAAUCAAGCCAUUGGUUUAGGAAGCUCUUAUGUAAUUUGAAUGAAGAUCAAGUUGAAGCUACUAAUAUUAGAGUUGACAAUAAGUCAGCUGUUGCCAUAGCAAAAAAUUCAGUAUUUCAUGGCAAAACUAAGCAUUUUAAGAUUAAAUUUUAUUUUGUUAGAGAGGUUGAACAAUCAAAAGAAGUUAAUUCAAUUCAUUGCAGCUCAAAAAACCAGCUUGCCGAUAUUCUAACUAAGUCUCUCGGUGCUAUAAGAUUUGAGAACUUAAGAAGAAGUAUUGGUGUUUGUUGCAUAUAGUCCAAGGAGGAGUGUUGAACUUUGGCCUGCAAUGCAACAGCAGAGAAGCAUUGAAGCUCAACCAGCACAGCAGCAACAUUUUGUUCAUAUGCAACUAGCUUUAGUUCUUUUGUAAUUUGUAUUUAAAGUUAGUAAGAUUAGCAGAACUGGAUAUUGUCGUAUUUGAUUAUAAAAAGGUGUCGGCUGGAAUUUAAUUCUCAUUGAGUGUUUUUUUAUAAAAUAACUUGAAAAUUUUUAUUAAUUAUAAAAAUGAUAUUUUUUAUUAGGUAAUAAAUAAUAAAACUGAGUGAAAUUAAAGAGAUUAGUGCCACAUCAACCAAUCAUUAACUGUUAAAAUUAAAAAAAUUAUUUUUUGAAUGAAGCCAACCCAUAUCGCAUCAUUGCGGCAGAAAGCAAUAAAGUAUGCACUAAUCAAUUGUUUUUAAUUGCUAAUAUUUAGUGAUAAAAUAAUAUUUAAUUAUCGAAAUUUGAUAAUAGUAACGAAGUUGAAAAAGGUUUUACAAUUUAGUUUUGAAAUAUAUAUUUUUAUUGAAGUUAAACUGUAAUUUAAUUAUAUUGAUUUGUAAUUUUACAUUGUUUAAAGGGACUAGAUCAAUUUUUUAUUAUUUUGGAGGUCAAUAUGCAAUUUAACAUGUAAAAUUUCAACUUUCAAGGAGACUCAAAGCAUAAAUUAACAUUUUAGGGGACCAAGGUCUUGCCUACCCCUUGUCGCCACCCCUCAUUGGUAAUUUAACUACUUCGGCCUUUGAAUUUUUUUGUCUAAAUUUAUCCUGAAAUUUGAUAGUUUUUCCUAAUGUAGUCCUUGAACAUUGGUCUAUGCUACAUCUUAGAUUUUUUUUAAAAAAUUUUUUAAAUGAUGACAUGGUUUUUUAAUAGAAUUUAAGUUCAAGAAUUAAAUUUAAAAAAUUGUUAAGUUCAAAGGCUAAAUAUUACAUUAUCCUUAAUAUUUGUUACCCGGUUUUAGAAGUCCAUUGAAUUUCUUGCCUGUUUACUUUUGUUAUUAACCAUUGCUUUGUUCUUCUUUGUUUAAUUUUAGGUCCCAUAAUUGAAAAAAGAAUGGAUGAGAAAUUUCUAAAAUCAUUAGAAACAAGAAAAUAUGAUCUCAAAUCCAAUGAAGCAUUGAAGCUCAACUAGUACAGCAGCAACAUUUUGUUCAUAUGCAACUAGCUUUAGUUCUUUUGUAAUUUGUAUUUAAAGUUGGUAAGAUUAUUUGAUGAUGUGAAUGAUGUCCAAUGUGAUGUAAUAGCUGAUAUGUCAGCUACAUUUUUUGUGUAAUUUAAGCUUUGUUUUAGUCAAGUUAUUAGUGGGAGAAGUUGUGUAUUAAGAAACUGUCAUGUAACUUCUAUGUUUAUCUUAUUGAAAAAUGUAAAUGAAAUCAGUUUUCAGGUUUCAUUUUUGUUCAAUUCUCUUUGGAUCCGUUUCUUGCUUCUUUUCUCCUUUGUUUUCUGUCAAAACACCAACAAAAAUUCACAUGUAUACAAAUUAGGACAACGUAAGUGGUCACUGAACAGCCCUAUUUAAAGAAGAAUAUACCAAAAUAAGACAAACCUAAGACCUGAACACUGACCUCAUGUGCUGCAAAGCUAUAAGAUGUUCUGAAAUUACGAAAAUCUUGUUAACAUUAAUGGAAGACAAUUAAUAAUGGUUGCCAUUAACAUUAAUGGGAGACAAUCAAUAAUGACAACCACCAACUUUGGAAAAGUGGCAAGGGAUAAUUUUUUUUGGUCCUUGAGAUAAUGGGCUAUUUAUUGUUUGGUCCUUGAACCUCAACUAUAAAUAGGUCUUCUCAUUUCUCAUUUCAAUUCAUCCCAACCAAUCUUUCUCUCUUAGUUUUCUCUCUUCUCCCAUUUGAGAAUUCUUAAGGAAUUCUAUUUGUUUGUAAUACUUUGAAGAUAGUAAAGUUAUCAUCUGGUGUUAGUGCCCGAGGACGUAGGUAUAAUUUACCGAACCUCGUUAAAACUCUUGUGUUCUUUAUUGUCCUAUUUUUCUUUCAAUAUUUGAGGGUAUAAUAGUAGUAUUUAAUUGUGCUAUUAAAUUACUAUAGAAGGGAUAUUCUGUCUAAGGAAAGACUUGGUAUUUAAGAGAUCCAUGUGAUCCACCUCUCUUCCCUGGGAAUUGAACUUUGUGUGAUUUUUAGUACAAUAAUUUAUACGCUUCCAACCCUAUUGGAACUACAAGUGGUAUCAAGAGCCGAAGGUUAAUCGUAGUAUGCUCUGUGGUUGCAGUUUAAACUGAUCUUCCACAUCAGAAAAGAUUUCCUUAGGUAUAUUGAAAGAUUAUGGAGAAAACGGUCGGUGUAGGAGCUUCAACAUCGUCCAUGUGGACAAGACCGACAAUUGCAAAUGCAAGAUUGGCCGUAGAGAUCUUUGAUGGCACGGGCCAUUUUGGUAUGUGGCAAAGUGAGGUUCUAGAUGCCCUUUUUCAGCAGGGUCUAGACAUUGCCAUUGAUGAAGAGAAACCAGAUGAUGUACAGGAGAAAGAUUGGAAAGCGAUCAAUCGGUUGGCAUGUGGCACAAUUCGAUCAUGCCUUUCUCGAGAGCAGAGGUAUGCUUUUUCAAAAGAGACUUCUGUAAAUAAGUUGUGGGUGGCACUUGAAGAUAAUUUUUUGAAGAAAAACAGUCAAAAUAAGCUCCACUUGAAGAAAAGACUGUUUCGCUUCACAUACGUCCCAAGUACCACAAUGAAUGAUCACAUCACCAAAUUUAAUCAGUUAGUCACUGAUUUGCUGAAAAUGGAUGAGACAUUCAAAGAUGAAGAUUUGGCUUUGAUGCUGUUGGGGUCACUUCCUGAGGAGUUUGAGUUCCUAGAAACUACUCUACUUCAUGGCAGGAGUGAUAUAUCUCUGAGCGAAGUCUGUGCGGCCUUAUACAGUUACGAACAGAGAAAGAAGGACAAACAGAAAAACUCAAUCAGAGAUACAGAAGCUUUAGUAGUCCGAGGUCGUUCAUACACUCGGAAGAAAACUCAAAAUGGGAGAUCAAAGUUAAAGUCCAGACUCGGGAAAGAUGAAUGUGCUUUUUGUCAUGAGAAAGGCCACUGGAAGAAAAAUUGUCCAAAGCUGAAGAAUAAGGGAGAAGCUGCUGUAGAUGCUUGUGUUGCUAAGCAUGAUACUAGUGACUCUGAACUAUCACUGGUUGCAUCAUCAUCGUCAUUCCAUUCAGAUGAGUGGAUAUUGGAUUCGGGUUGUACCUAUCAUAUGUCCCCUAACCGGGAGUGGUUCUCUGAUUUAGUAGAACUAAAUGGAGGAGUUAUUUAUAUGAGCAAUGACAAUGCCUGUAAAACUGUUGGGAUAGGUUCAAUCCAAUUAAAGAAUCAAGAUGGAUCAACCAGAGUUCUGACUGAUGUUCGGUACGUUCCCAGUUUGAAGAAAAAUCUCAUCUCAUUGGGAGCCUUGGAAUCCAAUGGUUCAGUUGUUACUAUGAGAGAUGGGAUUUUGAAAGUGACAUCUGGCGCACUUGUGAUAUUGAAGGGCAUCAGGAAAAAUAACUUGUAUUACUACCAAGGUAGUACAGUUAUUGGAGCAGUCGCUACAGCUUCCGGUAACAAAGAAUUGGACUCAAUGCAGUUGUGGCAUAUGAAGUUGGGACAUGCCAGCAAAAAAUCCUUGCAAAUUCUGGCAAAGCAAGGAUUGUUGAAAGGUGCAAAGGCUUGCAAAUUAAAAUUUUGCGAGCAUUGUGUUCUGGGAAAGCAAAAGAGAGUGAAAUUCGGUACUGCUAUCCAUAAUACAAAAGGUAUUUUGGAAUAUGUUCACUCAGAUGUGUGGGGGCCUUCCAAGACACCUUCAUUGGGAGGAAAACACUACUUUGUUACUUUUGUUGAUGACUUUUCCAGAAGAGUUUGGGUGUAUACCAUGAGAACUAAGGAUGAAGUGCUUAGAGUUUUUUCUUAAAUGGAAAACUAUGAUCGAAAACCAGACUGGCAAGAAAAUCAAGCGGCUUAGGACGGACAAUGGAGGGGAAUAUAAAAGUGAUUCGUUCUUCGAUGUGUGCCAAGAGUAUAGUAUUGUUCGACACUUCACAGUUAGGGAUACACCACAACAGAAUGGAUUGGCAGAGCGUAUGAAUCGAACAUUGCUAGAGAAAGUUCGAUGUAUGUUGUCCAAUGCUGGGUUGGGCAAGCAAUUUUGGGCUGAGGCUGUGACAUACGCUGGCCAUCUUGUUAAUCGUUUGCCAUCAUCUGCAUUAGAAAGAAAAACUCCUAUAGAGGUAUGGUCUGGAAAACCGGCUACAGAUUAUGAUUCCUUACAUGUGUUUGGAACCACUGCAUAUUACCAUGUGAAGGAGUCAAAGUUAGAUCCGAGGGUAAAGAAAGCUCUCUUUAUGGGAAUCACUUCUAGAGUGAAGGGAUUUCGUCUUUGGUGCUUAAGCACAAAGAAAAUGAUCUGUAGCAGAGAUUUUACCUUUGAUGAAUCUGCCACAUUGAAAAAGGUAGCAGAUAAAGAUAUUCAGACGAGCAAUACUCCACAGCAGGUGGAGUGUACUCCAAAACAGGUGGAGUUUGAGCAGAUGAGGAUUUGCCCAGUUAAUAAGUCUAAUUCUCCAGCCACAAUAGAGGAAUUAGAGGUUGAAGAGGUUCUGACCCAAGAACCACUAAGUACACCAGAACCAGUUGCAGUUGCAAGGCCACGGAGAGAAAUUCGUAAACCUGCUCGAUUUACUGAUAUGGUGGCCUACGCCCUUCCCGUUGUUGAUGAUAUUCCUAUCACUUAUCAAGAAGCAAUGCAAAGCUUAGAAAGUGAUAAAUGGAAAAGCGCCAUGGAUGAAGAAAUGCAGUCUCUCCGAAAGAACAAUACUUGGGAGUUGGCGCAAUUACCGAAAGGUAAAAGGGCAAUCGGAUGCAAGUGGGUAUUCGCAAAGAGAGAUGGAUCUCCUAGCAAGAAGGAUAUUCGCUACAAGGCAAGAUUGGUAGCUAAAGGCUACGCUCAGAAGGAGGGAAUUGACUACAAUGAUGUAUUUUCCCCUGUUGUGAAGCAUUCCUCCAUUAGAAUUUUGUUGGCCUUGGUAGCACAGUUGAAUUUGGAGCUAGCUCAACUUGAUGUUAAGACGGCUUUCUUGCAUGGUGAGUUAGAAGAGGAGAUCUAUAUGACUCAGCCCGAAGGAUACACAGAUGCUGGUGGUAGAAAUUGGGUUUGUAAGCUUAACAAAUCGCUAUAUGGAUUGAAGCAAUCCCCGAGGCAGUGGUACAAGCGAUUUAAUAGCUUUAUGAGAAGGCAAAAGUACACAAGAAGCAAAUAUGACAAUUGUGUGUAUUUGCAGAAGCUGCAUGACGGAUCUUUCAUUUAUCUACUCUUGUAUGUUGAUGAUAUGUUAAUCGCUUCGAAGAGCCAAAAAGAGAUAGAUAAGCUGAAGGCUCAGUUGAAUCAAGAGUUCGAGAUGAAAGAUCUAGGUGAGGCCAAGAAGAUUCUCGGCAUGGAGAUAAGUAGAGAUAGACAGAGAGGCAAGCUUUGUUUGAAUCAGAAGCAAUAUCUGAAAAAGGUAUUACAAUGUUUUGGUGUAAAUGAAAACACAAAACAUGUAAGUACCCCACUUGUUUCUCAUUUGAAACUUAGUGCUCAAUUAUCUCCGAAAACUGAAGAAGAAAGAGAAUAUAUGGCAAAAGUCCCAUAUGCUAAUGCAGUUGGGAGUUUGAUGUAUGCGAUGGUGUGUACGCGGCCUGACAUUUCACAAGUUGUUGGAGUUGUGAGCAGGUAUAUGCAUGAUCCUGGAAAAGGACAUUGGCAAGCUGUGAAAUGGAUUCUACGGUAUCUUCGAAAAACCGUAGAUGUUGGUUUAAUUUUUGAACAGGAUGAAGCACUUGGUCAGUUUGUAGUUGGAUAUGUUGAUUUCGACUUUGCUGGUGAUUUAGAUAAACGUCGUUCAACUACGGGGUAUCUGUUUACUCUUGCGAAAGCCCUAGUGAGUUGGAAGUCUACCUUACAGUCUACAGUAGCUGUGUCUACUACAGAGGCAGAAUAUAUGGCAGUUACAGAAGCUGUUAAGGAGGCUAUUUGGCUUAAUGGAUUGUUGAAAGACUUAGGAGUUGUUCAAAGUCACAUAAGUUUAUAUUGUGACAGUCAGAGCGCUAUUCAUUUAGCGAAAAAUCAAGUCUAUCAUUCAAGAACCAAGCAUAUCGACGUAAGAUAUCACUUUGUGCGGAAAGUCUUUGAAAAAGGAAAAAUUCUACUUCAGAAGAUUCCGACAGCAGAUAAUCCCGCAGAUAUGAUGACCAAGGUGGUAACAACAAUCAAGUUUAAUCAUUGUUUGAACUUGAUUAACAUCCUGAGAAUUUGAGCACCUUCAGGUGUAUGGCGCUCGAGAGCGCAUUUGUAGGCACUACAAAAGAUAGCUUUAUCGAAUUUGGGGAGUUGAAGGAAGUGUGUGAAGAUGUGAUUAUCCUAAUCAAAUCUUCAAGGUGGAGAUUGUUAACAUUAAUGGAAGACAAUUAAUAAUGGUUGCCAUUAACAUUAAUGGGAGACAAUCAAUAAUGACAACCACCAACUUUGGAAAAGUGGCAAGGGAUAAUUUUUUUUGGUCCUUGAGAUAAUGGGCUAUUUAUUGUUUGGUCCUUGAACCUCAACUAUAAAUAGGCCUUCUCAUUUCUCAUUUCAAUUCAUCCCAACCAAUCUUUCUCUCUUAGUUUUCUCUCUUCUCCCAUUUGAGAAUUCUUAAGGAAUUCUAUUUGUUUGUAAUACUUUGAAGAUAGUAAAGUUAUCAUCUGGUGUUAGUGCCCGAGGACGUAGGUAUAAUUUACCGAACCUCGUUAAAACUCUUGUGUUCUUUCUUGUCCUAUUUUUCUUUCAAUAUUUGAGGGUAUAAUAGUAGUAUUUAAUUGUGCUAUUAAAUUACUAUAGAAGGGAUAUUCUGUCUAAGGAAAGACUUGGUAUUUAAGAGAUCCAUGUGAUCCACCUCUCUUCCCUGGGAAUUGAACUUUGUGUGAUUUUUAGUACAAUAAUUUACAUGCUUCCGACCCUAUUGGAACUACAAAUCUUUGUUCUUUCAUUGGGUUUCUUAUCUUCCUUUUACACAAUUAAAAACCCAUAUAUAAUUUUAAAAAUACUUUCAGGCUUCUUUGUCUUGCUAAUUUCUGUAGAAAAUUACUGGUCUAUCACUGCCCCAAAGGUUCCAGCAUUUGAAGCACAAGAUAUUGGCACAUCAUAUAAGUUCUAAAUUUGUCACCAACAACUGACAAAACUGAGUAGAAUUACAUUAAUUAUGCUUAACAUUACACUUCAGGCAUACAUGCAAUUAAAAGUAAAAUCGAAAUAACACUAAACAUACUCGGAGUCGGAGGUGAAGAGGCGGUUGAAAGAGCGCGGAUUAAAGAGAAGAGGACUGGCGAGGUGGCGGGUAUUGAGGGCAAUGGAUGAGUGUUUUGAGGUGGGUUUUGAAAGAGCGUCUGAGGGAAAGCGAUAGAAACAUGGUGGAAGAAAGGAAGAGUUAAUGGAAGGAAAAUUUUAGGGUUUUGUUCUUUGUAUGAGAUCAUUUCAUAGAAUUGAUUAAGAAAGGAAGCAUCUAAGGAAGGAAAGGAGCUUAUUAGUGUUGUUUUCCGGUUUGGAUGUUUGGUUUAUUUUAUUAUUCAAAAUUAAUUUUUUUAAAACAAUGAAACAAGUUAUUUGAACCAGAUGGGUUUGAGACUAGGUUUGAUUUUUCUUUCUAGAGUCAGAACAUAGGCUUGAUGUAUGAAUACUUUUAAUUACAAUUGUAUUUGAGCUGUGAUGAUAUUCAACUAAAGCCCUCUCAAUAAUAAUAACUCUAAAUUUAAACUUAAAAAUAACUUUGAGCUAAUCUUGAUCGAUUACUCCAAUCACACAACACGAAUAACUAAAGCUUCCUCAACCUCAACAAAUGUUAUAGUGUCAAGAUUGAACAAACUGUCUCCUAGUACCCUAUUGAUUAGGCAACUUUGAUGUUGAACAUCCCACAAAAACAUGAAAAAAAGAAAAGAAAAAGAAUCACAAUUAUAUUUAACUCAUGCAACAAGUUUCACCUUUUUUUUUGUGAGAAAAAGAUCAAGCCACUAUUAGGGAGUCUUGGGCUUCUAGUUGAAGCCUGUGAAUCAUUAGAAUAAGAAAAUUCAUGUAAUGCUUAUUGCCAAAUCACAAUCUCGUCAGAAUUGAGGUUUUUCAAAAACAAAACAAUUAACAAAUAUUUAUGGCCUGAAACCUUAACCUACCCUAAUAGAAAGGUAAAAGAACAAUGUGCUCAAUGGAUUUCACUUCUUCCCCACACCUCGGUCAAUGAGGAUCCACCUCCUUAAACAUUUUGGCAAUGUUUUGUUUAGUAGUAACACAUUGUGGCAAGACCUCCUAAGGAGAUUUUUGAUAUUUAUUAUCACAUUAAGCUCUCAUGAAUGAUUUAAACCUUUCUAAGACAAAUCAUUGUUAGCAUUUUAUCCGUUUGGGGCCGCAUAUGAGAGAGGUAGAGAAAAGAGUCACUCGUACCCAUAUCAAAUGUUGUAAGAUUCAUCUUCCGAAAAAUGCCACACAAAUUUAUCUCGCUUAGUAGGGGACCUAAUAAGGAUUUUCUCAAUAACCUUAUGUUUAUUUUGGCUAAAACAUUGUUGUAGUAAAUCGCUCUUCCAAAUCCACAAGUCCAGAUCAAUCAGGUCCUUAAACAAAAUAAGGCUUAUCUCAAAGGAGGAAAGGAUGGAAUAUAUUCAAAAAGAUUACAAGUCGAGGACCCAUUGAUCAUGUGAAACCAUAAUGUCCUAGUCACUUUUGAAUUCAAUUUGGUUGCAAGAUUUUUAGUUAAAUUAAUAAUUCAAAAUUUUAGUAGGUAUCUUUCAUGUCUGAUGUACGAUUUUUGAAGACUAAUCUUUUUAGGAUUCGUGGUUACCCCUUCCAACGAUAUUAUUAUAUCUAAGGUUUAAAUAUGAAUUUUUUUCUUAGGAAUACAAUAUGCCUCCCCUUCUCAAUUUUUGUUCAUUGUUAAUUGAUCAUUUAAAUAGGAAUGCAUUUGUUUUAAACCUUGGUAAUUAGUUGGGUCUAGUGAACUUUAGGAGCUUAUUCUAUGCAUGUAACUCCCAACAUCCAUUCUUAAGAAUUCGAUGAUUGAAAUAUUUGGUUUCAAAAUUACUUCAAUUGUAAUUAUUACUUGAUUGUGGUACAAAAUUUUUGUUACAAUGUUUAGAACUAUUUACAACUCCUCCUUAACAUUUAAUAAAAGGAUAAAGGCACUUUAGCACGCUUCAACCCACAUAUCCUUCUAUACUAACAACAAUGUUGAUACUAAAUUAAAACUCAAUUUAACAAUUGUACAUAUUUUUAGGUUAAAUAAAUUUUAAGUACACAUAUUGCUGUUGUGAUGUAAGUAUUUAGGAUAAAUCACUGCAUUGUUAGACAAAUUGACCCAGACUAUAAAUUGUAUAUACAAACAAAAUUAAAGAGCAUUGGUAAAAUGUACAAAAAAAAUUGAGUAACAUUCAAUAUUUAUAAUAAAUAAAACACAAAUAUAAUAUACAAAGCUUUGAUGCCUUGAAUCUUUAGGGCUCUUCAAGCAGCCUUUAAUUUUUGUGAUUGGAUGAGUCUUGGCUGCCGCAAAUUGAAGAAGAAAAAUAUAUAAAAGCAUUUCAGAACAAAUACACACAAAAUAAGCUUCUGCAUGUAAGAAACUUAUAUAAGUUCGUUUCGGGUUUCACAAGUUUAAUCUUUUUAAGUUUGAGAUUUUAAUUUUUGAAUUGCAUCAUUACUAAUAAAAUUAUUUUAAGUAUAAAUUAUUCAGAUUAUUUUGAAUUCAAAUAAAUGUUUUGUUUGAAUCAAUUUAUAUUUGGGCCAAUAAUAAAUGGGUUUAAAUAGCUGAUUUUUUAUGGUCAAAGUGAGUUAAUUAGUUAAAUUUUCGGAUUCAUGUUAGAAUUGACACAUUUAAUUAAAAAUAUUUAAGCAUUAAAAUAAUCAAAAAGUCCCUAAGUUCAACUUACGGACGAAAAUUUAUAUUUUUACUUAGACUUCCCGAUUUUUUCAAAUUCUUAAUUAAGCCUCACAAUAAGUAUUGAAAUUUUCAAAAUUUUCAAAAUUUUCAAAACUUGCCUUUAAUUUUCUCAAAAUUCUUGAUUAAAUCUCUUAAAUUUUAUUUUCGAAAAAAGAAUUUCAUUAAACACAAAAAAUUAAAUAGAUUGAAUCCAACAUCUAGGAGUUACAAAAUUCUCAUAAAUAACAAGAGUUUACAAAAAGACUAGUAAACAAAACUUACUUUUGUUGAUGUAUAGCAUAAUAAGUCUGCAAAGCACCAAGCAAAAGUGCAGUAAUGGCACCCACAAAUGCCAAAAACGUCCAAGGACUCCUAAAAUAAGUAUGAUAACCUUGAGCUGCAUGCUUAAUCCACGUAGUCUUACAAUGAUCAUGUAUUUUCCGUUUAACCCCACUGUAAAUCGGACUAGGAACCAAAUCAGUGUUCAUCUUAUUGAAAAGCUUAGCCACUUCUUCAUCACUCCCCAAUCUAUUGUAUAGUAUGCCGGCGUCUCUCAGGUCUUUAACAUCUUCGGCUUCAUCAAUCAAUAAAUCAAGGAAACACAUAUAUGAAGUGACGGUGAAAUCGUUGUCGAAAUCCGGACACAUUUCGUAAGCUAUUAAGUUCAUGGUUGAAUCAUCGACGGAGAUCGGCGGUAAACAUAAUUUUCCGACGAAUAAGAUACGGUUGAAACUGAUGUCGGUUAAACAACUUGUUUCGCUGGCUUUUAACGAUAUCCCGACUUUUUUAAGCUCUUUUACGUUAUGAAUGGUGUGUGAAUGGCACCAUUUUGUUCCUUCUUCUUUUCUACGUUCUUGUUCAUUUGAACACGGAAAACCCCACCGCCGUGGUUUUUCUUUUUUGAAAAGGAGUCUUACUCGUAGUAGAUGCAAUAAGUGAAUUCGCUCUCCUUGCUUCUACUUCCGCCACCAUUCAUCGGAGCAAAAUCUGUAUCAGUCGAAGCAAACCUAUAAAUUUUUUUGGGGUAAAUUACACUAACAGUCACUCAACUUUGGGGUAGCUAACAAAACAGUCACUCAAGUUUCAGUUCAGUCACUGAACUUCUAAAAAAUAACAAAAUAGACACUAAUGUUAUUGAAAAGUGAUAAAUCAGUCACUCAUUAACAAUUGUCAUCACAGGCUUAAUGUGGUCAAUUAACUAGUUGAUGUGACUAGUUAACUUGCCAUGUUGGACAAGUAGUCAAAGGGUCAAAAAGAAAAAAAGAUGAUUAGUUAAGGGUAAAAAGAAAAAUAAGAGAAAUGGAGAAGAAGAAGAAAAGGAGGAAGAAGGGAAAAUGGAAGUCAAAGGGUCAAAAAGAAAAGAAAAGAUGAUUGGUUAAGGGUAAAAAGGAAAAUAAGAGAAAUGGAAAAGAAGAAGAAAAGAAGAACAGGGUAGGAAGAAGGGAAAAUGGAAGGAGCUUCCAAGCUUCAUACCAACGAUUCCCAAGGGUCAAAAUCUGGGAAUUUGGAUUUUGAUCCUUGGGAAUUACUGUUACGAAGUCCUUCCAUUUUCUCCUCUUCUUCUUUUCUUCUUUUUCUCCAUUUCUUCUCUUAUUCUUCUUCUUUUUUUUGUUCUUCUACUGCCCAAACUUCUUAAAUGGGUUUGUUUAAAUGACAGCUAGCCUACCCUUAAAUGUCAUGUCACUUUUUCGUUACGUCUGUAACGAAAAAUGGUUAAAAAGACUGUUUUGUCAGCUACCCCAAAGUUGAGUGAUUAUUGCUAUAAUUUACCCUAUUUCUUAUUUGAAAUUGUAAAUUUUUAACCAGCUAAAUUUAAGGUUUUCAAAACCCAACUCGUUAAGUUAUCGAUUUAUAAUUCUAAUUGGUCUAAUGAAUUCAUCCGAUUAAUUAAAUUAAUUAUUAAAAAUUUUCCAUUUGAUUGCCCAAUUCAAUUAAUUUUUUUUGGUUCAACCUGUUCAUAUAGAUUCUCAAAUCAAUUGGUCCAAUGACUUCCUUCAGACUAAUACCUUAAUUAAUUUCCAAUCCAAAUCGAUUCAAAUAAUAUUGGCUAAAAUACAAUUUUUAUUAUUUUAUUAAUGCAAAAAUUUUACCAUUUUAAAGAUAUUAAAAUAUAAAAUUUCUAUUUUAAAAAGUUGGAUUUGAAAUCAUAAUUUUUUUUCUAAAGAAAUGUACACUCAACAGGACCAAAGGAAUUGGCAGGGAAAUUUUGUUUUAUGGACCGUUUUCAUCACAAAUGAUCUUAUCAAAUUAAAAGAGGAUAGAUCAUCUUUUUUUUCAUAUCAUAUAUACAUUGGGACUAAACUUCCAAAUAAAAAAUAAUGUGUCUUUUUUUAAUUGAGUGGGACCAUAGAUGAUGUGGUGAAAAUGGUCCAUUAAAUAAUUUAUCACAAGCAAGAGUAAUUCCAAAAAUAGAAAAUUACAUUUUAAUUCUUUAAAAAUUAUUAAAUUAUAAAUUUAUAUAUAAUAAAAUUACACUUUGACCCUCAAAAUGGAAAAAAUAUUUUGUUCAGUCUUUUUAAAAAAAUAUGAACUUAUAAAUCAAUACAUGAAAAAAUUUAAGGAUUCGACAAAACUUAUCGGUCAGGCUAGUUGUUGAGAAAAUUGAACAAGGUAUUGAUCCAGAAUAAGAGAUUAGAUUAGAUGAAUUGAGUCAUCGAAUGGAUUUUCUUUAUAUGUUUAAUAUAUCUUUAAUAUUUUCAAAAACUUAUAUAACUGAAUCGAAUAAACUAAUCAAUCAAAAUUAAGAGUAAUCAAUGUAAAAACCUUUUAACAUUUAUAACCUCGACAAAAUGAUUUUUUUAUUUAUUUUUAAAUUCCUUAAAUUACCUGUCCUCGGCUGGGGUGAUAACAGUGUCGUCGAUGAACCUUAUGAUUGCAUUCAUGAACUGUUCGCCAUCACUCGAGCUAGUAAGCAAUUCAAGAACACGAAAAGGUAUUUGGUUCUCCAACAAUAACAGAUCCGAGUACACAAAUGUAAGCAAAUCGUUUUUAAUAAACUGGCCAUAAAUUUUACAAAUAUCAUCACCGUAACGCAUAUAAACUGCUUGUAAAAUUGCGCAGCCGUCAACGAAGAACAUCCAAGCCAGUUUCUCGUCAUCGUCGCUAUACUUCUCUAAUUCCUGUGGAUCAUAGCAUUUCUUUAAGUCAUCGAUCGCUUUUUUCAUGUUGCUGUACAAGGAAUCCUUAUCGAC